UUGGAAAUAUUUGUUCGAUAAUACAGCUUUUUGUUGUAGUGUGUUGGAAAUGUUAUGAAGAAAAUCUAGACUUGAAUGAUAGUUGGCUAUCUUUGUUUGGUGAGUUUGCACGUUACAAGAUUGUGUGAGAUGAUUCUAUUGUAAGCCUUUGGCAAGAGCGAUACAGAUUGGCAUAUUUGUUUCCAAAGGUUUGUUACUUGCCAUGUUGAUGUUGGAUUGUGUUGGUGUGUUGAUCUUUUCCAUGUUGGUACGUGAUUCGUGUGGCUGCAUAUGGUUCAUGCACUGUGACUAUUUGAAUUCCGUGAAUUCCACAUGUGGUGGGCAAUGUAUGUUAACAGCCCCCUUGAGAUCAGUUGGGUUAUAGAGUGAAUGCCAAGCUUGUGCUGAAAGAGGAAGAAAAGAUCUUUACCCAGUGGUUUGGUAAGCAGAUCUAUAGUUUGCAACAAGAAGGGAACAUGCUUGGCUUCAAGAAGUCCUUGAAUGACUUCUUCACGAACGAAAUGGACAUCGAUUUCGACGUGUUUGCUAUGAGCAUGAAGAAGUGGAUUAUGUGUCAUGUUGAUGGCGCUCUUAUUGUUGUUGAGGAGGUGAGGAACAUGUAAAGUUGAGACCCCGAUGUCCUAAAAUAAAGUAAGAAUCCAAGUUAAUUAAGCCAUUUUGGGAGACAAAUUAAGCCCGAUAUUCUACUUGUACAAUGGAUCAUGCAACAAUUUUUUGUUUCUUGCUACACCAUGAGAUUAAAUUUGUCCCAAGGUAAACACAAAAGCCUGUUGUGCAACAUUCUAUUUCAAGGUAGGGUUGCCAAAAAAGUCCAAGUCGAGCUGCAUGGAUUGGGCCUGGAUAUGGGCUGAAAAAUAUGAAGCCCGUAGAAAAAGCCCGGGCUUUUUAAUUUAUAACUAAAAAAUAUAUCAAAUUAAAAUACUAUAUUAACAUUUUUUAUACUAGUAUUUACAGGUGGGCAUGUAUUGGUUUUGAUUGGGUUUUAAGUAAACCCAAAUCAAACCAUAAAAGUUUGGGUUCGAUCCAAACCAACUCAAAUAAUUUCAACCCAACCCAUUUGGAUUUGGUUUGGGUUUGGUUUGAAUUUUAUUAUCAAAAUAUUUUUUAUUUUGAUAAAUUUAAUUAUAUAAAAAUUAUAAAAAUUAUAAAUUGUUAUUAAUUAUUAAAUUGAUACUAAAAAAUGAAAAAAUAUAGUGGAUAAAAAUUAUAAAUAAUGAAUUUUACAAUAACUGAAUCCUUAAAUUAAAGAAUACUAGAAAAUUAAAAUAAAGUUUAAUCACAAAAAUCAUUAAUUCUCAAUAAAUAAGAACAUAAACACUAAUAAUAAACUUCCACAAACAUGACAUCAACAGGUAAAUUCAAAGAAAGCAAAUAAAAAAAAUUAUGUGAGUGCCAUUUAGUUAAAAUAAUAAAAUUUCUUUAAGUAAAAAAAUGUAUCCUUUGACUUAUAAUUAUUGAGAUGAUAAUUUUCUAUCAAAUGGUGUUUUUUGUUUUUCAAUAGGUUGAUUGCUCAUUAAUUUCAAGAUGGAGGAUCAAUGUCAAUAAAUCCCAUCAAAAUAAAAAAACGGAGUAUUAUUUAUGCUACAAUAUCAAUAUAGCACACAAAAUGUUAAUUUUAUUUAUAACAAGGAUUUAUAAUUUCUGUCACAAUAAUAUUUUAUCAGUGGCGAAAUAUUAUUUUUCAUAAUUAUUAAUUAUUUCCUUCCAAUGGGCUAGGUAACUAUGCCCUCAAAAACCAUCCUAACAUUAUUACUAUAAUUUUCCUUAAUUUAAAUACAAAAACAACAAUAUGGAUUUGGUGUUUUUCUUAUUACAGUUAGAAACAUAAAAGCGGUAAUUAUGUAAGUAUAAUAUGAGUUCAUAAAUUAAAAAAAAAAUGAUUUCAUUUCAUCAAACACUAAUUUCAUCUCAUUUAAUUAUUUACAGUAGCAUUUAUUUAAUUCAGAUUUGUUUUUACAUGUUGUUUUCUUUUUCUAACUGUUAACAAUUGAUCACGCCGUGAACAAUUUAAUAAUAACCUUUCACUUAUUUUUUUUUUCAUUUAUUUCAUUUGACAAGUUUGAGUUUUGGGGUUUUGUUCAUGACUCAUGGGUAAACCAUACCCAACUCAUAAUGAAAUGGUUUUUUUUAUAUAUAAAACCCACAUUUAACCCAUUUUCAUAAUUUACCCAACUCAAACCAUUUAAUUUGGUUUGGAUUUGGUAAACCCAUGAAUUGUGGGUUUAUGCCCACCCGUAUUAGUAUUUGUGAUUUAUUAUGUUGUGUUACUAAUAUCAAGCCUGGACUUUUUAAUUUAUAAGUAAAAAAAUAUCAAAUUAAAAACUCAAAUAUUAUAUUAAUAUAUUUUUUUAUUUAAGCAUAUAUUAUCUAUUUUGUUGGGUUACUAAUAUUUUAAAUAUUUGACUAUUAUUCUAUUAUGUAUAGAAUAAUUAUCUUUAAUUUAAUUUUUUUUACUUCAUUAAAAAUUUAUUUAAAAAAUAAUGAAGGCCCAAGCCUGCCCAGUCUAAGUUUGGAUGGGCUUUUGAAUGGCAUGGGCUUAUUCUCAACAAGUUGGGCCUUGGCCUAGGCUUUAAAAGGCUCAGUUCAAGCCUAUAGAAUGGCAGCAAGACAGCCUUUGUAGAUUUUUAGGGGCUUUUUGCUGUGUUCUAAAGUCAAAACAGCUCCUAGCAAAUUUUUGGACUAUUUUGUUUUGAAAACAUUUUUUAGGAUUGUUGAGAAAAGAGGAGAAUAACAUUAGUAUUUUUUUAGGAGGCUUGAUGAUGAGUUUGAUAAAUUUGGCAAGUUUUACUAGACUAAAGUGAAAAAAGUUUAUGUUGAGGCUGAAAGUUUAAGUGUGCAAAUGCACAUUUUGGUUGCUCUCGGGAUAAAAACCAAGAAAUUGGAAGGAGUUCUGCAGGAUUCUGUACAAUUCAAGCCUGAAGAACAAAAGCAUGAAAGCAGGAUGAUUUUGAAAAUUCUUGAAUAGUAAAUAUCUCAACUUGCUUUUAUACUAUAUCUGUGGCAUUAUUUUUGAAGUUUAACAAUAUUAAUCUUGCGAUUAACACUUUAAUGCAAACAACGAAUACACUCAGGAUGAACUUAAUGAGGUUCUUUUGGAGUGGGCUAACCAUUUUUUCCACAUCCUUAUCACAUUUGCAAAAUAGUUAGUAUGAGUAUGAAACUGUAGAUGGACCUUGUUAUUAGUUGUUACAAUUUGUUGAAAUUAAAGUUGUAGUGUUAAACUAUAAUGGUUGUUGUUAAGGAUUGCGGUAUAGAUGUUAUGCAUUUGAUAAUAUUAGGUAUUUUGAUUGAUUUUGGUGUAGAUUGGGUUGCUAGGUAUAGGUCAGAGUGCUGUUGUGCAUAUCGCUAAAAUUAGAACGCUGUUGGAAGAUGGUGGGUUGUUACGUAUGAUUUGGAGUAUUAGUUGGAGUGUUGCUGGGUAUGCGGCUGGAAUUAUGAUCAAGAUGCAUGAGCCUUAAGUGGGUGAAUUUGAGGUUGGAUUUUAAAGUUCACUGAAGCACUCAACUACUUACAACAACUCCUAAAUGCAAAUGAAGUAAUUACUGCCAUAAUAAUGGAUGUAUCGUUCAAAUUUUUAUUCUGGGACAAAGUCAUCUGGGUUUCAACUAUAAAUAAAAUCUGCAUUUGCAUAUAGUCUCAAUGUCUCCAAUGGCUGAUAUUUAGAAACUAUGUCCAGCUCAGUUUCGGUGUUGAUGCAUUGACCAAUUAAAUCAACGAUAAAUAGAUUACUAGCAAGAUUAACAUUAUGAUAACCUUGAAAAUAAUCGUCUGAUGAUUAUUAAUCCAUUAGAGGUAUCAUUUCUACUGAUAGAGAUGUUUCCAAGAAAACCAAGUUCAGUUUUUUUUGGUGAAAAUAAGUCCUGAAAAAUAACUUAGUACCUUCGCUUUAGAAUUGACAUUUGUGGAUCAGGAAUUGGCUUGGAACACAAGAGAAGGGUUUAGAUAAUUAGCACUCGCAAAUAAUACAACUCGUAUUAUUGAAAAAAUAAUAAUAAUAACUCGUAUUCUGACUUUGAUUGUUUACUAAGUGUGAAUUUACAAAAGUUAUGUACAUAAUGAAAUAGCUAGCUAUAAGAGAUUUAAUUACAUAACUACAGAAAUACAGCUGGAGUACAUAAUCUGCUUUCCUAAACUAUAAAAUAGGUAAUGAAAUACUUCAUUUUUAAUGAUACAUGAUAUUCUAAAUUCUUGAUACUGAAAUUCAAUGACAGCCUUGACUUGUGCAAGCUAUGCUGUGUGUUUUAACCGUUGGCGAAUUUUCUUUUAUUGAUCAUUUACAGCUUGCUUAUUAGUCCCCCUCAAGUUGGCAAGUGACAUAUGAUCUGGAUUCUACGGGUUUGUCAGAAAUUGCGAAACAUGACUUUCGAGAGAGCUUUGGUGAAUACAUCGACAAUUUCCAAGGAAGAAGGAACUAGUUUUGUCACCAUCGAAGGGACUAAUUUUUUCACCAUCAGACCUUCUGCAACCUUUCCUCGAAGAAAGUGAUAAUCAACCUCUAUAUGCUUAGAGCGAGAAUGGAAGAUAAUAUUAAUAGUCAUAUAUAAAGCACUUAAAUUAUCACUAAGCAAUUGAGGAGCUUGAGCAAGAGAAAUCCUUAUUUCACGAAAGAGAUAUGUGAUCCAUGUUAGCUCAGUUGCUGUCAAAGCAAGUGCCUCUUAUUCAACCUCUCCAUUGGGUCUAGAUACUGUAGGUUGCUUUUCAGAGGACCAAGAGAUACAUUUAAGACUUCGGGGUAACUUACUUUCAAUUCUCUGUCUAUGGUGUUAUCCCAUCACAAUCAAGUGGGAGAUAUUGGAAUUGGUGCCCAUGAUGGGCUAGAUAGGCCCAAGAAAGGAAACAUCUAGAAGCUUAUUUUAUAUAGAGUUUAAUAUGACUAUUGCAAGUCUAAUUAGACUUUGAGAGUUAUAAAGUCUUUUGAUUGACUUCAAUCACUCUUAUUAGCUCCCAUAUAAACAUACCUAUUGUAUCUAGAAUAGAUGUGUAUGAUUCCACACACAUGCAAUGUUUUAGAAUGAGCCAACUAUAUGCUUGAUUUCUUCAAGCUAUGCUUAUAUAUAUUUAAAAAUUGAGAGCUGCUUGCUUACAUUCGAUGGUCGUUCGGUGGCUAUAUAAAAUGCAAAAAAUUUUAACAGUUGCUUCAUUUACCAAAUUUGAGAACCGAGAGCAAACACAGGAAAAUGGAACAGAAAUAAGAAAGUGGAAAAGGGAAAAGAGAAGAAAAAGAAAAUAAGAAAAAUAAGAAAGAAGACGAAUAUGGGAAAAGAGAAAAAGAAAGGAAAAGGAGAAAAAAUAUUAGGGGAAAUAGAAUUAGAUAGUUAGAUCUACAUUAAGUGAGUUAGUGGGUAAUAGAUUUAUGAAAUUUAAGUAGUUAUGAUUUAAUUUGUCUUAUACGUAUAAGUUUUUAUAUUAGUUCUAAUAGUUAAUUUUGAAUCAUGUAUUUUAGGAGAAAUCCAAGAAUCUAAGAACCCACAGCAGCCCCAACGAACCCGGAGUGAAACAAGCUCUGUAGGGAUACUAUUAUUACUAUUAUGUAUUCCAUGAAGCAUUUAUGUUUAGUAGUAUGAUUUAAUAUAAUGUUAUGAUUACACGUACAAAUAUUAUAUGUUUGAUUAAGUUAUAAAAUGUGAUUGCCAAUCGCCAUAUAUGUGCCCUUCCUUAUAAACUUCGUGCAUGCAUAUUCAGAGUUAGACUACUCUGCCCGUGCGAUGUAGUUAAAUUCCAUUGGGUAUUGAGAGGUUUUUGCCCGGCUCUACUCAUGCGAUGAUGAUCCCAGUAAGUAUUGAGAGUUAUUUCCUUGGGUAUUAUUUGGUGCAGUUUUGUCAUGUAUGUAUUAUUUCCUAUGUUUACAGAUGCAUUACUUAUUAUUAUUAUUAUUAUUAUUAUUAUAUAUAUAUAUAUAUAUGGUUGCAAGCUCAUUAUUUUCGUAUUUAUCCCUUUUCCGCCAGGAUUUCGCAAGAUUUCGUGCUAAUCAAUUCUAGUCAAUUAAAGUUGGGCCACGAGACGUAUUGCCUCAUGACUUGCAUUUUGAGCACGUUUAUGUUACUUAUGUUUUUAUGUAUAUAUAUGUGUAGGGUAAGUAUAUAUAGUGAGAUAUGAAUUGUGUAAGUUUUUAAUAUAUAUUUUUGGAUGAGGUAUAGAGGUUGUUAUGUGUUUAUAGUGGAGACCAUUUUUAUAUAUUCAUGAAUUAAAUUUGUGCCGCGAGUUAUAGUUAUUAGAUCGUAUGAUUCACCUUGGAUCUGACAUAUAGGUGAGGCAAGCUGAGUCAUGUGAUAAGGGUGUGACAGAUAUGAAAACAUGAAGAAGAUAUUAGAAAACACAGGGAUUGAAAACAAGAGAAAAUGGCAGUGGGCUCUGGCAAUGUGAUACGAGGGGAUUUUCUUUUAUUAUAAUUAUCCUCCAACUAUAAACAUACAGUAGCGUGAUGGUUUUCUUUGAGAUUAUCCUUUGUCUCUAAUCAACUUGACAUGAUAUAACUUAUUGUGAUCUACUUCCGCAUUCAAGGAUCAAAAUGUAUGUUUUUGGAUAUCCUAUUAACUGUAUGUUGAAUAUGUACGAAUAUCAACACUUAUCGUUUUGAAGCUAUCAAAAGAUAGACUAUAGUUUGCAAUAAGAACAAUGUAGGUUGAGAUUUGUCAGUAGAAAGAACUUAGACAUAAAUUUUAAUGAAGAUGCCUAACUUUGAAAAUUUCAUAUACGUUUAGUGAACGAAAAAGUCUGCAUGUAUUUAAAAUAGCACAAAAUUUAAUGAAAAAAUUCUUCGUGUUCAGUAUUAACUCCAAUUGCAGAAAUGCAGGGUUGAGCAAUUACUAAUAUUCUGGUAGUUGCGACUUCUAGAGAAAUAUAAAUGUGGCGUAAACAAAUGCAAAGAAAAUAUGACACAAUAAUUUACGUGGUUUGGAGUAAGGCCUACGUCCAUGAGCAAACACUGGAAGAUAAUUCUACUAAUAAUGAAAAUUUACAAAAGUGGGAGAAACUCUCAACACCCAAAACUCCAAUACACUCAAAUGGAACCUCACUAGAACACUCAAGUGGAAGCUCUCUUAAAUCUCUUAAAUCGCUUCACUUGCAAUUGCUCUCUACUUCUCUCAAAUUGGGAUGCUUACAAUUGCAAAAUACUUCUCUAUUUAUAGAGAGCAUUUUGCAAAACGUUGAGUCGAAACUUGCAUUGCAUGUAUUAAAGUUAUGCAUAUUUGUCAACAAUUGCACGUGUAAUUUGUUGCCAUCUUCAAUUUUCAGCAUCAUUGUUGGUUGAUUUAUAUAAUCAAUUACUAUCAAUGCCAAUGUGCAAGUAUACACAACAAGUAAUAAAGUGAUAAGUAUUCAAGAUCGUCUCCACAGGGAUUGAUGUUGUUCAAAAUGCUUAAGCAAUCGCAAUAGUGCAAAUCAACUAAAGAUCGAAACAAGCAAUUGUCAAAUAAUUCUAUCGCAAUUAUUAAUUUCGAUAGAUGGAAAUAACACAAUACUGUAAUGAAAUAAACUAAGUUAAAUGUGUCUAAGGUUCAAUUGAGAAUAUAGUAGUUGAAUGAUCAAACUAUCCUAAUGGGGUGACUGUUGAUUACCGAAUUAGUACCAGUUGUUACAAUAAGUGCUACAGCACUGGACAGAAUAAAUUUGCAUUCGCAACUAUCGCAUGUUAGAAAUCUCGUACCUUUAAAUCUACUAACAAUGACCAGUUGCUCAUAUAUUUAAGGUAUGGCUUUAUAAUCCUUAAUCUCGCUGCCCUACAAGGUGAACACCUAUGUCUAGGAUAUCACAAAUCUUAAUUUCAAGUAUUGCCCUUAUGGGAUUUAAGUUAACCUAAUCCAGGAAACUUGAUUUAAGAACAAGUAAUACUCUAAUAAUGUUCUCUAAGACAUGCCCUUUUGCUGCUCUAUCUUAACUGAAACUAUUAAAUGAGUGGUCAACUGAAAUAACAGUUAUGCUCAUAAAAACUAUUAGAGUAUAAUGCUACAGCAAUACCAUAACAACCUAUAAGAACAGUCAAGAACCCAUUGGAUUAUUUGUCACUCAACUACAUAUAAAUUUAGUUCAUAUUCUAAAUGAGAAAAGUAAACUUAAAUAUACUGAUCACAGGAUACAUCCAAACAAUUUCAAAGAAGAAAGAUAAUAUGAGUUGAGCACGGUGAAAGACUAGAGAAUCUCCUCGGCUCUUCAAUGAUGUUGAACAGUCCUCCUCAAUCUUGAUCUUCUUCUUCUUCUUGCCUUUGUAAUUAUUUGGAUGGUAAUCUCUCUGCCACUUUCUAUGUGGUCCAUACCUCCUUUAUAUAGUGUAAAUUAGGUUAAAACCAAAACCCAUGAGCGUGCAUGUGUUUAAAUUAGGAAACAUGCAUAUCGUGAUUUCAUUGCUGACCCGUGCUUAAUUUUCUCCCGCAUUGCUCCCAGAUUGCUGCAGCACUGGUUGCUCUAACAUCCGCAACAACACUGUAUUAUUCCCGAUUGUACUUUUCUUCUUUUGUGGCCAUCUUCUUUCCUCCUCUUUCUCAUCUAAUGUCUUCACAUCCCCUCAUGAAUUUAAAACCUACAAUUUAAAACCUGUUUUUAGCACAAAUUACUAUGAUUCAAGCAAAACUUGUUAAAACUCAACUAAAAUGAAUGUUUAUGCAAAAGGUCACCAAAAUGUAAUCAAAACACAUUAUUUGCUCUCUAAAUGGCCUUUAUUCAAGUCUAGAAUUGAUGUAAUAACUCUCAUUUCCUAGAGUUAUCACACCUCCAAACUUAAACUAUUGCUUGUCCUCAAGUAAUGACACAUACUAACAUUUCCCACAAACAAACAUGCACACAACUUUAGCCCAUAGUAAAUCGGUUAUAGACUUAAGCUUCUUUCUGUCCAUAGUGUGUGUGUGCUUCCUUUUUUAUUGAAUUCCAGAUAUGCUGUAACAUCACUAAAGGACUGCAGAAAUUUCAACAGUGAUAUACUUUAUUCAUAAAAGGGGUAGCAUAAAUUUCACAUAUUCAAAUUGUGAUUGCUUUAACAUUGAUAAUCUGGGGGAUAAUCAACCUCCUCACUGUAACAUUUAUUUUUCAUGUGAAUGUCAAUCACUUGUAAUGAUGAUACCCAAUUACUCAAGCCAUGCCCAUAUCAGGGUUGCUGCAGCAAUAUCUGUGGUAUAAUCUUAUCUCAAGGUAUCUUUGACUCAAGGCUGAACAUGGGGCUCAUGAACAGACCUGGCUAUUCAAUGCCUUAAAUAUAUGACUUUUUUUUUAAUUAUAUGCUACCGGACUACUCAUAACUCUCGCUACCUUUUACACAUUUCUGCAUAUGAGGUGCAUACUCAGAUCUGGUUACUCAGCAACUUAAGCCAUUGGAGCAGAGUUUUAUUUCAUGAAUAUCACAGUAAAUCAACAUGCUUCUCCCUUCAAACUUAAGAUAUUUUCUAUUAUUUUGGCUUUGCUCUAGCAGUCUUAUACAACUCAAUCAAAGGCUAAGUGUUGGGAUAAAAUUUCACUUCUAUCUAUAACUAUCUCUACUUGGCAUUCUCAUAACUACUGUAUAGCACUCAAUUUAUCUUCAUUAGGUUUUGAAAUCCAUACACAAAUAACAGAUAAAAGAGCUUCACACAACACAAACAUAAACACAUACAUAAAACACAUGCAUUCGGAAACAACCCCCCCAAACUUGAGAGAUGUUGUGUCCUCACAAGCAAACAAAAUAAAGGCACACAAAUGGACAAAAAUUUUUUUUUUAGAACAAGAAAGAAACUAGUGAGAUAAGAGUACUCCCCUGUGGUGGGGACUGCAGCCCAUGACGGGAUGCUAUCAGCGCUUUUUAGAUGCACUGCGCAGCUUAUCCUUUGGUGAAGCCUUUGGGGAGGUGGCUGGCAACGUCUUUGUCUUUUUCGCUGCAGGGCUGGUGAGAGGAGUUGUGGCUGGGGUUGCUGUAGCAGUUCCUGUAGACGUACUGCCUUUUCGUUUGCUGGGUUGUCUUGGACUGGUGCGGAUAGGCUGGCUAGGAGUUUGCUGUGGAGGCUUUUGAGUCAAUGCGUCAGCUGCUUGGCCCUCGGCUAUGAUGGCAGCAAUUACCUCAAGUAGUUGUGUGGCUUGCUCAGAUGUAGGCAUAGCUCUGGCUGCUGCAGAAGCCAGCUCAACAUCGACUUGAUCCAUCUCAUCUUCAGAGGCUAGAGGUGUUGCCAUUUUUGCUUUACCCUUGUCAUUUCCUUUGCCUACAAAGACUGGAAUAGAAGGUUCCACAUCAAGGUCUUUAUUCUCCUCUUCUUGAAUAAUGUGCUGCUUCCUAGUUUUGGACUGGGUUGGGAUGGGUGGUUCCUCACGUUCUUGCUCCGAAUUAGCCUCUGCCUCUGAGGGUGAGCUAUCAGUCUCAGACUUGUCACCUUCUUCCUCAGGUGGAUCAGAUGGCUCAGCAUCUUCUGAGUCAACUUCUGCUGGUGGUUCAGUGGCAGCUUGUUCUGCUGGUUCAUUUGAAGCAAUAGCUUCUUCACUGGUUUCUGCUGAAGCACCUGUAGUGCUGGUGUCAAAAUUAUACUGCUGGAGCAGGGAAACAGGGAAGUUUUGGUGAGUACAUUUCAUAUACAAAGCAAAUUGGUGUAGUUGGCCAUCCAGGUGUUGUAGAUAACUCCAAAACCGAUCAGACUUGUCACAUUCUUCCUCAGGUGGAUCAGAUGGCUCAGCAUCUUCUGAGUCAACUUCUGCUGGUGGUUUAGUGGCAGCUUGUUCUGCUGGUUCAUCUGAAGCAAUAGCUUUUUCACUGGCUUCUGCUGAAGCACCUGUGGUGCUGGUGUCAAAAUUAUACUGCUGGAGCAGGGAAGCAGGGAAGUUCCGGUGAGUACAUUUCAUAUACAAAGCAAAUUGGUGUAGUUGACCAUCCAGGUGUUGUAGAUAACUUCAAAACCGAUCAUUUUCCCUCUACUGAGCUUCCACACAUUGAUUGAUAUUGGUGCUGAGUGACUGGAUGGUCUGUUCUAAGCUAAGAGUUCGUCGUGCUCCUGUGACAGCAGCUGGUUCAGUGGUUGUUGCAACACUCUCGCCAGCAACUCUCUCAAUUGUACGUGCCAUAAAGGCAUCCUCAUUCUUGACAUGAUAAUCGCUGGCUUCAAGACAAACACCUGAAACUACACAAAUGCUGGUGACAAGGGAAGGAAAUAAUAAGACAGCAGUUCGGUGAGUUUUGACUGCACACUCUCGGAUUUCUUUUAGAAAUGAUGCUACUCACAUCUAUGGAAAGCCCUAUAACAAGGACAUAUAGCAAAACCAAUCUUUCUUAUGAAACCGUAGUAGUGUGAGUGGUGGGCAUAAGCCUCGAUUUCAAAAAUUUCACCCACACCUUAGCAAUAGGUUUCAAAUCUAUCCUAUUAACUACACGCCCUUCCUCGUUAGCCCAUGAUGCCCUUCGAUGGUAAGAGUUGUAAAAAUGGUGGUCCACUUUUUCGGGGUUAACUUCUCACACAAUUUAGCAUACUCACAAGUAAUUUCAGCAGGUAAAUUAUAAAAAGCAUUGAUAACACGAGAGUCUAAUGGAACAAGUGUGUUUCUUACCCAGAUGUUACACUGAUCAGGUCUUACAGAAUUGGCAUAAAAUUCUUUUACUACCGACAGUACAGGAUUGCGAGGGUGUUUGCAAAACUCUAGCCAUCCUCGCUUUGCUGCAGCAUUAUGAAUUGUGUACACAAUUCCCGUGAGUUGGUCUGGAAAUUGAAACCCUUUUUCUUCUAGAAUCCUACGCGGCUUUAUGAAUUCUUCGUAUUUUUCUUCGGCGUGGUAACUCUGGAACCGUGAUGGAUCUUUGAGGCAGCUUGUUGUUUUCUUAUAUCUCGGCAUUGCUAUAGCAGUAACAAAUUAAGGCUACUGUUCCUGAGAGUAAAAAGAGAAGAAGAGGUUAAGAAUUAGGAGAGUUAGAUUUGUGGAGGAGAUGGUGAAUAGUGGCGUAGAGCACUAAGCACAGUGACUCCUUUUUAUAGUGGACUUGCAAUUGAAGAUAAAUACGAUAACUAAAGAUAAAUGAGGGAAGAAAAUAUUUUUAAAUUGAUGCACAAAUCCCAAAAAUAUCGGCUAGUAAAAUUUGGCAUUAAUUUCAAAAAUUUAUUAGUAAUUGCUAUCCAUAUCCAAGCGUCCAUCUGUCACGAUUUCAUCUCCAACGGUAAGUGAAAGGCUCCAGCUUUUAAUUUUUUGUAACGGUAAAAUUAGUUGCUGCAGCACCCAUUUGCUUAUUCCAACAACGGAUACAGACUCCAUACCAAAGCGUCUGACACGUGGUUUUGCCUCUGAAUUCUGCCACCAUACACUUUCAAUUGUCACAAUGGAAGUCAAUUGUCACACAUACUUUCCAUAAAUUCAAAUUAGUUCGAGCAUCUAAAAACAAAGAAAUCAAAUAAUAGCAAAAGUAAAUAAAAUGCAAUAAUUUGAAAAAAGAUAAUAAAUAGCUAGAAUGAAAUAACAAAAAUUUAAAUAAUAUGGUAAAAAGGGAGAGCUGUCAACUAAACCAAUGGAGGUCAAAAUUGGUUUGAAAUGGUUGUCUCCCCAAAGGGCUGCCUCCCAUAGAGCGCUUGAUUUAAGGUCUUUCAGCCUGACCUUCCUUCAUUGUUUAAUAGCUGGGUUCUUUAAGGAGUAACACCUCCUUUAAACCUUCUGCUGCUGGAUGUAUGUAAUGCUUAACCCUGUGUCCAUUAACCUUGAAUUCGUGGCCUGUUUGUUCAUCUACAAGAUCAACAGCUCCAUGAGGGUAAGAUUUUAACAGUUUAAACGGGCCAGACCAAUGUGACUUGAGCUUUCCCGAAAACAAUCUUAGUCUUGUAUUGUGGAGCUACACUAAUUGACCAAGGGUGAAUUUCCUGUGUUGAAUAUGCUUGUCGUGCCAGUGUUUUGUUCUCUCUUUGUAGAUUCUUACAUUUUCAUUUGAAAAUAGCCGUAAUUCAUCAAGCUCACAAAGUUGAAGCUUCUUUUGCUCUGCUGUAGCAUGCUUGUCCUAAUUUAGUUUCUACAGUGCCCAUUGUGCUUUAUGCUCUAGCUCUAGGGGCAAAUGACAAGCCUUGCCAUAAACAAUUCGGUAAGGAGACAUACCGAGUGGAGUUUUGUAUGCUGUUCUGUAGGCCCAUAAAGAGUCAUGCAAAUGUAAAGACCAAUCCUUCCUUGUUGGGUUCACCACUUUUUCUAAGAUCUUUUUAAUUUCUUUGUCGGACACUUCAGCCUGACCAUUGGAUUGUGGGUGAUAUGUUGUUGCUAUCUUGUGUCUGACUCCAUAUUUCAUCAUUGCUGCAGCAAAGAUUUUGUUGCAAAACUAUGUGCCUUCAUCACUAAUAAUUGCUCUAGAAGUACCAAACCUGGAGAAAACAUUUUUUUGAAGAAAAGUCACCACGAUUUUAGCAUCAUUGGUAGGUAAUGCUGUAGCUUCCACCCACUUGGAGACAUAAUCUACAGCAACAAGGAUAUAUAAGUUCCCAAAGGAUAGGGGAAAAGGUCCCAUGAAAUCUAUUCCCCAAACAUAAAAAACUUCAACUUCCAAUAUGUUGGUCAAUGGCAUCUCAUGUCUGCUGGUUAUGUUCCCUGUCCUUUGACACCUGUCACAACAUUUAACAAAUUCAUCAGCAUCUGUAAAAAUAGUGGGCCAAUAAUAACCUGAUUGCAUAACUUUGGUAGCUGUUCUGUGACCACUAAAAUGUCCUCCAUAUGCUGUAACAUGACAUGACUCCAGUAUAUGAGGUAUUUCUUCUGCUGCAACACAUCUUCUUAUUACUUGAUCUGAGCAUAGCUUAUGUAAAUGUGGGUCAUCCCACUGGUAGCUUCUAACAUCAUUAAGAAAUUUAUUUUUCUCUUGGAACUUCAGCUCAGGUGGUAGCAACCCACUUACUAGAUAGUUAGCAAAGUCUGCAUACCAUGGAGAUUCUGACUGCUGCAGCAUCUAUGCUUGCUGUACUACCAAUAGUUGUUCAUCAGGAAAAGUUUCAGUGAUGUCCUUCCUUGUCAAUGUACUAGUGUCUGCUUCCAACCGUGACAAGUGGUCUGCCACUUGAUUUUCAAUUCCCUUUCUAUCUUUAAUUUCCAGAUCAAAUUCUUGAAGCAAUAAGAUCCAUCUGAUUAAUCUUGGUUUGGCAUUCUUCUUUGAAAUUAAAUAUUUAAUGGCUACAUGAUAUGUGUAAACAGUUACUUUAGUGCCCACCAGGUAAGCUCAGAAUUUGUCAAAAGCAAAAACUACUGCCAGCAACUCUUUCUCUGUAGUGGUGUAAUUGAUCUGAGUUAGAGUGAAAGUUUUGCUUGCAUAGUAUAUGGAAUGAAAAACCUUAUCCUUUCUUUGCCCUAAUACUACUCCCACAGAAUGAUCACUAGCAUCACACAUCAAUUCAAAUGGUAAAUUCCAAUCUAGGGAUAUAACUACUGGAGCAGUGAUCAAGGCUUUCUUUAAUUCUCCAAAUGCUUGAAGGCACUCUUUGUCAAAGUGAAAUGGUUUGUCAUGCUCUAGCAAUGAACACAGAGGCUUGGCUACUUUGGAAAAACCUUAAUGAAUCUUCUGUAGAAUCCAGCAUGACCCAAAAAACUCCUAAUACCCUUUACUGAAGUUGGGGGUGGCAGUUUAUCUAUUACCUCUAUUUUGGCUUUGUCUACCUCAAUACCAUCCUUGGAUAUCUUGUGACCCAGUACUAUGUCUUCUUGCACCAUGAAAUGGCACUUUUCCCAAUUGAGUACUAAGUUGGUCAUCUCACAUCUUUUAAGAACUUCUUCCAAGUUGUGUAAACAAUUACUGUAUGUUUCUCCAAAAACUGAGAAAUCAUCCAUGAAAACUUCCAAAGUCUGCUCUACCAUAUCAGAAAAUAUAGACAUCAUGCAUCUUUGAAAAGUUGCUGGAGCAUUGCAUAACCCAAAUGGCAUUCUUCUGAAGGAAAAUGUUCCAUAAGGACAGGUAAAUGUAGUAUUCUCUUGAUCCUCUUGUGCUAUAGCAAUUUGGUUGUAGCCUGAAUACCCACCUAAAAAACAUUAGUAUUUUUUUCCAGCGAGUCUGUCCAACAUCUGAUCUAUGAAUGGAAGUGGGAAAUGGUCUUUCCUUGUGGCUUUGUUGAGCUUCCUGUAAUCCAUACACACUCUCCAUCCAGUCACUGUCCUUAUAGGAAUAAGUUCAUUCUUCUCAUUAGCCAUUACUGUUAUCCCUCCUUUUUUUGGAAGACACUGAACUGAGCUUACCCAUGAACUGUCUGAUAUUGGGUAUAUGACUCCAGUAUCUAACCAUUUAAUGAUUUCCUUCUUCACCACUUCUUUCAUAAUAAGAUUCAACCUUCUCUGGUGCUCCACCGAAUUGCUGGAACAGUCUUCUAACAGGAUUUUAUGCAUCUAUAUUGAUGGGCUGAUCCCCUUUAUAUCUGCCAUGGUCCAUCCAGUUGCUUUUUUGUAUUUUCCCAGCAAAUCUACUGGGCUUUGUUCUUGACCUGCAUCCAAAGUAGAAGAAAUGAUUACAGGGAGUGUGUUGUUUUGACCAAGAUAAGCAUACUUAAAAUGUGAAGGUAACAAUUUUAAUUCAAAACUAAGAGGUGAUUCAAUAGAUGGUAAAGUUAUUUUUACUUCCCUGUCUGAAAGAUUCAGGUGUUCAAUAACCCUGUUGUGCCUACUAAAUUGCUGUUUGUCCAUCCAAUCUGUUUGAAUUGCUGCAAUAUCUUCCUCUUCAACCUCUUCAAAGGUGGUGACUUUGUUAAGUACAUUACUGCAGCAUCUGUCUAUUCUUUCUGCUACAACAAGAUCCACUACACUUAGGAAAUUGCAAUCUUCUAUUUCAUCAGGGUUUCUUAUAGCCUCUAGUACAUUAAAUGUGACUUACUGAUCAUUCACUCGCAUGGUCAGCUCUCAUUUCUGCACAUCUAUCAAAGUCUUCCCAGUUGCUAGAAAAGGUCUGUCAAGUAUAAUGGGUACCUCUUUGUUAGCUUCAAAGUCCAGCACAAUGAAAUCCACUGGAAAAAUGAAUUUGUCAAUCUUCACCAGUACAUCCUCUAUCUUUCCCUCACGAUAUGCAUGAGAUCUGUCAGCUAAUUGCAGAGUGACAGUUGUUGGUCUGCACUCCUCUACUCCAAGCUACUUAAAUAUAGAUAAUAGUAUCAAGUUAAUACUAGCUCCCAAAUCACAAAGCGCUCUGCCAGCAUACCUAGUCCCUAUAGAGUAGGGUAUUGUAAAACUCCCUGGAUCUUUCAAUUUUUAGGGAAUUUUAUUAUGGAGCAUAUGGCUGCUUUCCUGUAUUAAAGCAACACUUUUAAACUCUCCCAGCCUUUUUUUUCGUGCCAAUAUAUCUUUUAGAAAUUUCACAUAAUUUGGCAUUUGCUCCAAAGCUUCACCAGUACAUCCUCUAUCUUUCCCUCAGGAUAUGCAUGAGAUCUGUUAGCUAAUUGCAGAGUGACAGUUGUUGGUCUGCACUCCCCUACUCCAAGCUGCUUAAAUACAGAUAAUGGCAUCAAGUUAAUACUAGCUCCCAAAUCACAAAGUGCUCUGCCAGCAUACCUAGUCCCUAUAGAGCAGGAUAUUGUAAGACUCCCUAGAUCUUUCAAUUUUGUGGGAAUUUUACUCUAGAGCAUAUGGCUGCUUUCCUAUGUUAAAGCAACAGUUUCAAACUCUCCCAGCAUUCUUUUUCGUGCCAAUAUAUCUUUUAGAAAUUUCAUAUAAUUUGGCAUUUGCUCCAAAGCUUCCACAAAAAGUAUGUUUAUGUGCAGUUGCUUCAGCACUUCCAGGAAUUUACUGAACUGCUUGUCUUGUUUUUGCUUCUGGAACCUUUGAGGGAAGGGUGGUGGAUGUCUAAACUACUGGUUAGAUUCAGUAGGUAUCAACUCUGUUUGUUUAAAUUGGUGCAGGUUGUGGCUACUGGUGUUGCAACUUCUUUUUCAGCAGGAUCUGGUUGAAUUUAUUUUACAGUUGCUGUAGCUUGGUCCCUUACAUCAGUGUCUUGAUGGGGAGUCUGCUAUAACAUGCUUCCAUUUUGAGUUGGUUUUUGAGCUGAAUUGCAUUCCAUCCCAUUUUUUGUCACCUCAAUUGGGAUAUCAACAUUCUUUCCAGAUCUCAAACUGAUUACUUUGCAGUGUUCUUUGCUCUCUCUCCUAGGGUCUUCUGUAUUGCUAGGUAAGCUUCCUUGAGUUCUGCUGCUCAUUGCUGUAGCUAAUUGUCCCAUUUGGUUCUCAAGGUUUCUUAAGGACACAGCUUGACUCUGCACAAUUGCUUUAUUCUUUGCAAUGUACUCCUUGAUUAGUACUUCUAAUGAAGUGAUUGGAUCCUGACUGACAUGCUUUUGCCCUUGACUUUGUUGAUGAAAACCAGGUGGUUGCGGUUGUGUGCUUCUACUUAGUCCAUUCAAUGCUGGAGUAUUUCGAUUCUGAUUGCUCCAUGAGAAAUUUGGGUGUUGUUUCUAGCCUGGGUUGUAAGUAUUUGAAUAUGGGUUGUUAUGAGGUUGUCGAUUGAAGUUACCCACAUAAUUUACUGAGCCUGGAUUUCCAAGACAAUUAUCAAAAUCAUGUUCUUCACCAUAGUAGACAUAAGAAAGUUCAGCAACUUGCUUUACUGUUGCUGGAGCAGAUAUCAUGGCUUUUACCAUGUUAGUCAAUGAGGUUACUUGAGCUGAUAAGGCUGUAAUUGCAUCAAUGCUAUGUACCCCUGCGGAUCCUUUUGCUAUUGGUUGCCUGGCUGAAGGCCACUGGUAAUUAUUAUUGGCAAUUCUUUCCAAAAUUUCAUAAGCUUCAGUGUAGGAUUUGGAUAACAGAGCUCUAUUUGCUGAAGUAUCCACCAUUAACCUUGUACUCGGAUUCAACCCAUUGUAGAAAGUUUCCAAUUGAAUGCAACAAGGAAUACCAUGAUGAGGAUACCUUCUGAGCAAGUCCUUGAACCUUUCCUAAGCCUCGUACAAACUCUCAUGUUCAAGUUGAUGGAAUGAGGUAAUCUCAUUUCGUAAUUUUGCAUUCUUUGUCGGUGGAAAAUAUUUCAUUAGGAAUUUAUCAGCCAAUUCAUUUCAUGUAGUGAUGGAAUCAGAUGGUAAUGAAUUUAACCAUGCCCUUACUCGAUCUAUUAAAGAAUAAGAAAAUAGCAUUAGUCUUAAGGCAUCUUGUGUUGCUCCAGCAAUCUUUAAAGCAUCACUUACUUCCAAGAACAAUUUAAGAUGGAGAUGAGGAUCUUCAUUAGGCAGUCCAUUGAACUGUCCCACUGUUCGUAACAUUUGAAACAUCAUUGGUUUUAACUCAAAAUUUACAGCGUCUACUUCAGGUCUGAUGAUGCUAGGUUGUACCACUUGUGAAGUUAGCACAACACUAAUGCACCGGAUCCCAUCAGAACUCCACAGUUAAGCGUGCUUGGGCGAGAGCGGUACUCAGAUGGGUGACCACUUGGGAAGUCCCCAUGUUGCACCCCUCAUUUUGCUUUUCGGUUGGUUAAUUAUCUUUUCGCGGCCGACUCCUUCACUUUUGCGUGCGUUCGCGGGUUUCGAUCGCCGGCACGGGGUCUCCGGGGCACCUCCGACCCGCCGGAGAGCGUGAAAAGUGCCCCGGAUGGGUGAAUCGUGCGGCCGCGUCAGGGCAGGCGAGGGGGGUACGGGUUCAGUAGAUUUUCAGUGCACAUGCUAAUGGGUGCAACCAUACUAGCACUAAUGCACCAAAUCCCAUCAGAACUUCGCAGUCAGGCGUGCUUAGGCGAGAGCAGCACUAAGAUCGGUGACCUCUUGGGAAGUAAACGUAUUGCACCCCUCAUUUUGUCUUUUCGGCUGGUUAAUCCUCUUUUCGCGGCCGACUCCUUCACUUUUGCGUGCGGUCGCGGGUUUCGAUCGUUGACGCAGGGUCUCCAGGGCACCUCCGACCCGCCAGGGAGCGCGAAAAGGCCCCCGGAGGGGUGCAUCGUGCGACGGCCGAGUCAAAGCAGGCGAGGGGGGCAUGGGUUAAGUAGAUUUGUAGUGCACAUGUUGAUGGGUGCGACCACUAGCACUAAUGCACCGAAUCCCAUCAGAACUUCGCUGUGAAACGUGCUCGGGCGAGAGCAGGACUAAGAUGGGUGACCUCUUGGGAAGUAAACGUGCUGCACCCCUCAUUUUGUCUUUUCAGCCGGUUAAUCCUCUUUUCGCGGCCGACUCUUUCACUUUUGCGUGCGGUCGCGGGUUUCUAUCGCCGGUGCGAGGUCUCCGUUGCACCUCCGACCCGCCGGGGAGCGUAAAAAGUGCCCCAGAGGGGUGAAUCUUGCGGCAGCCAAGUCGGGGUAGGUGAGGGGGGCACGAGUUAAGUAGAUUUGCCGUGCACAUCCUGAUGGGUGUGACCACUAGCACUAAUGCAAUGAAUCCCAUCAGAACGUCGCUGUCAAGCAUGCUUGUGCGAGAGCAGUACUAAGAUGGGUGACCUCUUGGGAAGUAAACGUGUUGCACCCCUCAUUUUGUAUUUUCGGCCGGUUAAUCCUCUUUCGCGGCCGACUUCUUCAAUUUUGCAUGCAGUCGCGGGUUUCAAUCUUCGGUGCGGGGUCUCCAGAGCACCUCUUAAUGCCGGGGAGCGUAAAAAUCACCUCGGAGGGGUAAAUAGUGCAGCGGCCGAGUCGGGGCAGGCGAGGGGGGCACGGGUUAAGUAGAUAUGCAGUGCACAUGCUGAUGGUUGCUACCACUAGCACUAAUGCACCGAAUCCCAUCAAAACUCCGCAGUCAAGCGUGCUCGGGCGAGCGCAAUACGAACAUGGGUGACCUCUUGGGAUGUCCUCGUGUUGCACCCCUCAUUUUGUCUUUUCGACCCGUUAAUCCUCUUUUUGCGGCCGACUCCUUCACUUUUGCGUGCAAUCGCGGGUUUCUAUCGCCGGUGCGAGAUCUCUGUUGCACCUCCGACCCGCCGGGGAGCGUAAAAAGUGCCCCUGAGGGGUGAAUCGUGCGGCGUCCGAGUGGGGCCAGGCGAGGGGGGCACGGGUUAAGUUAAUUUGUAGUGCACAUGCUGAUGGGUGCAACCACUAGCACUAAUGCACUGAAUCCCAUCAGAACUUCGCUGUCAAGCGUGCUCGGGCGAGAUCAGUACUAAGAUGGGUGACCUCUUGGGAAGUAAACGUGUUGCACCCCUCAUUUUGUCUUUUCAGCCGGUUAAUCCUCUUUUCGCGGCCGACUCCUUCACUUUUGCGUGCGGUCGCGGGUUUCUAUCGCCGGUGCGAGGUCUCUGUUGCACCUCUAACCCGCCGGGGAGCGUAAAAAGUGCCCCGGAGGGGUGAAUCUUGCGGCAGCCAAGUCGGGGUAGGUGAGGGGGGCACGAGUUAAGUAGAUUUACCGUGCACAUUCUGAUGGGUGCGACCACUAGCACUAAUGCAAUGAAUCCCAUCAGAACUUCGCUGUCAAGCGUGCUUGUGCGAGAGCAAUACUAAGAUGGGUGACCUCUUGGGCAGUAAACGUGUUGCACCCCUCAUUUUGUCUUUUCGAUCGGUUAAUCCUCUUUUCGCUGCCGGCUACUUCAAUUUUGCAUGCAGUCGCGGGUUUCGAUCGUCGAUGCGGGGUCUCCAGGGCACCUCUUAAUGCCGGGGAGCGUAAAAAUAGCCCCGGAGGGGUACAUAGUGCAGCGGCCCAGUCGGGGCAGGCGAGGGGGGCACGGGUUAAGCAGAUUUGCAGUGCACAUGCUGAUGGUUGCUACCACUAGCACUAAUGCACCGAAUCCCAUCAAAACUCCGCAGUCAAGCGUGCUCGGGCGAGCGCAAUACGAACAUGGGUGACCUCUUGGGAUGUCCUCGUGUUGCACCCCUCAUUUUGUCUUUUCGACCCGUUAAUCCUCUUUUUGCGGCCGACUCCUUCACUUUUGCGUGCAAUCGCGGGUUUCUAUCGCCGGUGCGAGAUCUCUGUUGCACCUCCGACCCGCCGGGGAGCGUAAAAAGUGCCCCUGAGGGGUGAAUCGUGCGGCGUCCGAGUGGGGCCAGGCGAGGGGGGCACGGGUUAAGUUAAUUUGUAGUGCACAUGCUGAUGGGUGCAACCACUAGCACUAAUGCACUGAAUCCCAUCAGAACUUCGCUGUCAAGCGUGCUCGGGCGAGAGCAGUACUAAGAUGGGUGACCUCUUGGGAGGUAAACGUGUUGCACCCCUCAUUUUGUCUUUUCGGUCGGUUAAUCGUCUUUUCGCAGCCGACUCCUUCACUUUUGCGUGCGGUCGUGGGUUUUCAUUGUUAGCGCGGGGGGCAACUCUGACCCGCCGGGGAGUGAGAAAACCGCCCCGGAGGGAGGAAUCGUGCGGCGGCCGAGUCGGGGGAAACGAGGGGGGCACGGGUUAAGAAGAUUUGCAGUUCACAUGCUGAUGGGUGCGACCAUACCAGCACUAAUGCACCGAAUCCCAUCAGAACUCCGCAGUCAAGCGUGCUCGGGCGAGAGCAGUACUAACAUGGGUGAACUCUUGGGAUGUCCUCGUGUUGCACCCCUUAUUUUGUCUUUUCGGCCAGUUAAUCAUCUUUUCGCGGCCAACUCCUUUAGUUUUGCGUGCAUUCGCGGGUUUCGAUCACCGGCGCGGGGUCUUCGUGGCACCUCUGACUCGCCGGGGAGAGCGAAAAGCGCUCCGGACAGGUGAAUCGUGCGGCAGCCGGGACAGGGCAGGCGACGAGGGCACAUAUUAAGUAGAUUUGUAGUGCACAUGUUGAUGGGUGCGACUAUACCAGCACUAAUGCACCAAAUCCCAUCAGAACUUCACAGUCAGGCGUGCUUAGGCGAGAGCAGUACUAAGAUCGGUGACCUCUUGGGAAGUAAACGUAUUGCACCCCUUAUUUUGUCUUUUCAGCCGGUUAAUCCUCUUUUCACGGCCGACUCCUUCACUUUAGAGUGCGGUCGCGGGUUUCGAUCGCCGGUGCGAGGUCCUUGUUGCACCUCCGACCCGCCGGGGAGCGUAAAAAGUGCCCCGGAGGGGUGAAUCUUGCGGCAGCCAAGUCGGGGUAGGUGAGGGGGGCACGAGUUAAGUAGAUUUGCAGUGCACAUCCUGAUGGGUGCGACCACUAGCACUAAUGCAAUGAAUCCCAUCAGAACUUCGCUGUCAAGCGUGCUUGUGCAAGAGCAGUACUAAGAUGGGUGACCUCUUGGGAAGUAAACGUGUUGCACCCCUCAUUUUGUCUUUUCGGCCGGUUAAUCCUCUUUUCGCGGCCGACUCCUUCACUUUUACGUGCGGUCGCGGGUUUCGAUUGUCGGCGCGGGGGGCACCUCUGACCCGCCGGGGAGUGAGAAAACCGCCCCGGAGGGAUGAAUCGUGCGGCGGCCGAGUCGAGGGAAACGAGGGGGGCACGGGUUAAGAAGAUUUGCAGUUCACAUGCUGAUGGGUGCGACCAUACCAUCACUAAUGCACCGAAUCCCAUCAGAACUCCGCAGUCAAGUGUGCUCGGGCGAGAGCAGUUGUAACACCCCAAAUCUAACACGUGCGGAGCACGUGAAGAAGGAGGUUACUCACAAAUCAUAAUCUUUACUCAUAAGUUUCAAACUGAAAUUCCUCCAAUUCUUAUUCAAAUAAAUCCAUAAAUCCAAACGUCAAAUACUAAAUAAUCUCUCUCGAGGACAUAUAAAAAUAAUAACAAAAGUCUCAAACUCCAAAUUACACGUUCAUAAUAAAAGUAACUAAAUAGAAACACAAGUUUAUUCCUCCUUUUAUUCAAUAGCAAACGGAAACUGGAAAUCACUAACUUCAAAGCUCAGUGCACCUCUCAAAAGAAACUUAAUCUGCAAAAAGUAAUGACGAGGGGUGAGCCGUCAACUCGGUAAGUAAAACCAUUCAUAACACACUAGGCCUAUCGAUACCAUAAAUAUUGCAAGCCUUCUUUUGUUUAAAGCAUAUAUCAUAAUCCAUAAUUUUCAUAAAACGAUAUAUCACAAUAACAUAAGAUAAUUUCUUAAUAAUUCAGAAUAUUCAAAAGCAUAUUUACUUACGAAUCAAAUCAUGUAAUACGUAUACAGAAAACAAACAGGUUAGCUCAUGUCACAUAGUGUCACCUAUAGUCCCGGUGACCCGGCCAGAAACAUAAUCAGAAUAUCGUGUGCACACUCAGAACAGAAACCCAGUACUGGUCCAGACGGAUAUAUCGUAUAUUACGAUCAGAAUCAGAAUCAGACUAACUAUGGACAAUGAGCCAAAGCAAUAAGAAUCUCAUACAAUCAUCAAUAAUUGAAAUCAAACAUAGGUACAAAACAUUCGUAUCAGUUUCAUAAAAGUUCAUAUCAAUAAUAUAGGCUUGCAUAACAUUUUAAAGAUAACAUCCUAAAAGGUUGUCAUGUCAUAAAAAUAACUUACAUAUUCAAAAGCAUUUAUAAAAUACUUUGUUAAAAAGAAUGGUUUGAAAACAUUUACAUAAAGCUAAUUUUGUUAUCAAAAUUAGUAAUCCUUUAAGUAGUAUCAAAACAUUUAUACUUAUAAUAAUAAUAUCAAAAUACUUAUACAUAUCUAGUACAUUAGGAAUGAAGUUACUUACCUCGACAAAUGAACUUGGAUUAACACAGCUCUAAGCUUAGGCCACCCAUAAUUCUCAAUGAAAGCCCAAUUUCCAUAAUUUAAUAUGUAUGGGAAUUUGUGGCGUUACAAUUUCUCCCCUCCUAACAAAAAUUUCGUCCUCGAAAUUAAAAGGUUACCUUAUGCAUGGAAGAGUUGAGGAUACUUCUCCAACAUUUCUGCUUCUCUCUCCCAAGUGGCUUCCUCAAUAGAAUGAUUCAUCCAUCGUACCUUCACUAGGGGAAUAACUCUAUUCCUUAAUACUUGUUCGUCUCGAUCGACAAUCUCAAUAGGCUGUUCCUCAUACGACAUGUCUUCAUUUAUCUGAAUCGGUUGAUAGUCUAGCACAUGUAAAGGGUCUGCAAUGUACUUUCUUAACACAGACACAUGAAAUACAUUGUGAAGCCUAGACAGACUUGGUGGUAAAGCUAUGCGAUAGGCCACCGGACCAAUUCUCUCUAAAAUCUCAAAUGGUCCAAUAAAUCUAGGGCUAAGCUUUCCUGUCUUCCCGAACCGAAACACCCCUUUCCAUGGCGAUACUUUCAAGAAAACAAAAUCUCCUUUUUCGAAUUCCAACUCAUGUCUACGACGAACUGCAUAACUCUUCUGUCUGCUCUGAGCUGUUUGAAGACGUCCUCUAAUCAACUUGAUUUUAUCAACAGUAAUCUGUAUUAAUUCUGGACCCAAAAGUUUUCUUUCACCAACUUCAUCCCAGCAGAUUGGGGACCUACACUUUCUUCCAUAUAAUGCCUCAAAUGGUGCCAUGCCAAUACUCGAAUGGAAGCUAUUGUUAUAAGCAAAUUCGAUCAACAUUAGGUGCUCUUCCCAACCACCACUCAAGUCUAGGACGCAAGCUCGAAGCAUAUCCUCAAGGGUUUGAAUAGUCCUUUCGGAUUGCCCAUCUGUCUGUGGAUGAAAAGCAGUGCUAAAUCUCAAUUUCGUCCCCAACUCUUUAUGUAAGCUAGCCCAAAAUCUUGCAGUGAACAGUGGAUCUCUAUCAGACACUAUUGACACUGGAACCCCAUGAAGCCUCACUAUCUCCUUAAUGAACAACUUAGCUAGUUGCCCUACAUUGUCUGUACUCUUCCUUGCCAAGAAAUGAGCUGAUUUCGUCAAUCGAUCAACAAUUACCCAAAUGCAAUCACAUCCCCUCCUAGAACGAGGUAAUCCAGAAACGAAAUCCAUUGUUAUGUGUUCCCAUUUCCACUGAGGAGUAGGAAGCGUUUGUAAAGUUCCUGCUGGUCUUUGAUGCUCAAUCUUUACUUGUUGGCAGACUAAACACCGAGACACAAAAGCAGCAAUAUCUCUCUUCAUAUUCCUCCACCAAAAACUUUGCUUUAGAUCACGAUACAUCUUAGUACUACCAGGAUGCAUACUGUAAGAUGAUUCAUGAGCUUCUCUUAAGAUCUCUGCCUUCAACUCUUCGUCUGCUGGCACGCAUAACCUUUGUCCCAACCAUAAUCCAUCCCCAUUAUCAAGUCUAAAUCCGGGCUUAUGUCCUUUGCUCACAUCUUCACGGAUUUUAUUGAGUUCUAUGUCGUUCUUCUGAGCUACCUUAACUCUAUCAAUUAGAGUGGGUUGGACUGUCAAAUGUGCUAACACGUCUGCUUGCCCAUGAGUAACUACCUCAAUCCCACAUCUCCUCAAGUCUUUUACCACAUGAGAUUGCAUGGUGAUAAGAUGAGCCAUGCACCCAGAUGAUUUCCUACUCAAGGCAUCUGCUACCACGUUUGCCUUACCUGGAUGGUAAUUAAUAGAACAAUCAAAAUCCUUUACCAACUCCAACCAUCUUCUUUGCCUCAAAUUCAAUUCCUUUUGAGUAAACAAGUACUUCAAACUCUUAUGAUCGGUGAAGAUCUCACAAGUCUCCCCAUACAAAUAGUGUCUCCAGAUUUUUAGAGCAAACACUAUAGCAGCCAAUUCCAAAUCGUGUGUUGGGUAGUUUUGUUCAUGAUUCUUUAGCUGCCUAGAAGCAUAUGCUAUAACCUUACCAUGUUGCAUUAAAACGCAACCCAAACCUUUUCUGGAAGCAUCACUGUAAAUCACAAAACCUCCACCUUCAGAAGGGAGAGUUAAAACAGGGGCAGUCACCAAAUAACUCUUGAGCUCUUGAAAGCUCUUUUCACAUGCCUCAUCCCAAUUGAACUUCACAUUCUUCUUAGUCAAAUUAGUCAAUGGUGCUGCUAUGCUAGAAAAUCCUUUGACAAAGCGCCUAUAAUAACCUGCCAAUCCUAAGAAACUCCUUACUUCAGUCACACUAGCAGGCCUUUCCCAAUUCACAAUUACCUCCACUUUGGCUGGAUCUGCUGAAAUACCAUCCUUCGUCACUAUAUGUCCCAAAAACAUCACACGAUCAAGCCAAAACUCACAUUUCUUAAAUUUUCCAUACAACUUCUUCUCCCGCAAUGUUUCUAAUACAAUCCUCAGGUGCGUCUCAUGCUCCUUCUUACUCUUAGAGUAAAUUAAUACGUCAUCAAUAAAGACGAUGACAAACUGGUCAAGAUAAGGUUGGAAGAUCCUAUUCAUCAAAUCCAUGAACGCUGCAGGAGCAUUAGUUAAUCCAAAAGGCAUAACUAAGAACUCAUAGUGUCCAUAACGAGUUCGAAAAGCUGUCUUCGAUACAUCCUCACUUCUUAUUUUCAAUUGAUGGUAGCCAGAUCGUAAAUCAAUUUUAGAGAAUACCGCUGCACCUCGUAAUUGAUCAAAGAGGUCAUCAAUUCGGGGAAGAGGGUAUUUAUUCUUGACGGUAACCACAUUCAACUGCCGGUAGUCUAUACACAACCUCAUUGAACCAUCUUUCUUCUUUACGAACAAAACGGGAGCACCCCAAGGUGACACACUAGGACGAAUGAAACCCUUAUCUAGUAAUUCUUGUAGCUGGAUCUUUAGUUCUUUUAAUUCAAUGGGUGCCAUCCGAUAUGGUGCCUUGGAUAUAGGUGUAGUACCAGGAACUAAUUCUAUAGUAAACUCAACCUCUCGAUCUGGGGGUAGUCCCGGAAGAUCUUCAGGAAAUACAUCAAUAAACUCCCUUACAAUAGGUAUGUCUUCAAGGCACGCCCCAUCGGGAUGGUCAGCAACUAUAUACGCUAAAAAUCCUUCACACCCAUUCUUUAGCAUUUUCAUUGCCUUAACCAUAGAAAUCAAAGCUUUAUGACUCUUAUGAUUCCCUUGAAAAUGAAAUUCUUCCUCGCCAGGUAGGCGAAAAAUAAUUUCCUUAGCAAAACAAUCUAUUGAAACAUGGUAAGGUCCUAACCAAUCCAUCCCCAAAAUAAAAUCAAAAUCGUGCAUCUAUAAAGGUAGGAGAUCCACAAGGAAUUCUCUAUCACACAAUCUGAUCACACAUGACUUAUAGACAUGAUCUAUAAACUGGCAAUCCCCCACAGGGGUACUAAUUGUCACGUGAACAUCCAGUGGUGUGAUAGGCACAUUAGCAUAACGGGCAAACACACAAGAUACAAAUGAAUGUGUAGCACCAGGAUCAAAAAGAACUUUGGCUUAUCUAGAGAAUAAGGACAAUGUACCUGAUACUACAUCAUUGGACACCUCAGCAUCUUUUUCUGUUAGUGCAAAAACACGCCCUUGCACCCUCGGUUUCUUCCUCUGCCCUUCGUUAGUCGGAGUAUUUGUAGUCUCGCUACGUCUCUUUGGGCAAUCCAUAAUCCUAUGCCCAGAUUCUCCACAAGCAAAACAAGCUCCAGUUUUCCAAUGGCAUUCACCAGGGUGCCUCCUUUCACAAUGUCGACAAAUGGGGUAGUUCCUCCGAGUGGUGUCACCAGUAACACCCUUGUUAUCCCAUUUGUUACCUCCACCAUUAUACUUCUGGGAGUGAGUGCCCUGCCUAAAGGAACUUCCAUUUCGCGGUCCACCUUAUUGAUUCUUCUUAUUUCUCUGAUCCCUUGUAACUUGGGCUUCAAGAAUAUCCUUCUCCGCAAGAAUUGCUCGGUCCACCAAAUCGGCAUAAUUGUUAAUCUUAAGGAUGGUCAAUCGCCCUUUAAUGUUAGGACGUAACCCUUCCAGAAACUUCCUACACUUACUACCUUCAUUAGCAACCAAGGUAUGAGCAAAACGAGAGAGGGCAGUAAAUUGUUCCUCAUACUCCGCAACAGACUUUGUUCCUUGAGUCAACCUCAAGAAAUCAGCCUCCAUCUGAUGUCGAGCUCGUUCAGGAAAAUACUUUUCAUGAAAAGCCUCCAAAAAUAACUCCCAAGUAAUGGGUGCAUCUUGCAAGCCAGCCCUUAUGAGACGAGAUUUGGCAUCCCACCAGUGGUCUGCCUCACCCUGAAGGACAAAUGAGGCUAAUAUUACCCUUUGAUCAUCAUUACAACCCAUAGCCACAAAUAUCUUCUCCAUCUGUUUUAGCCAUGCCUCUGCAACCAUGGGAUCGGCAGUCCCCUGAAAGGUAGGUGGUCCCAAUUUCUUAAAUCGUUCUAAGUUCACCAUAGCCCUAUGAUCUCUUGCGCCACCUUGCCUUUCAACUGGCACAUUCUCUUGUGCCCCAACUCUGCCUCUAGCCAUAUCUUGAAUUAACUUACUUUGUUGUUCCAUCAAUCUAAACAUUGCGCGCAUCAUAGGAUUUCCUUCGUUAGCCAUCUCGUGCAAGGUUGGGUCAGCAUCGUCAGCGAUACCUAAAACAUCUCUCGAGCUAGAGGCAUGCCUAGCACCUCCCCUACGUGACAUCUCUUGACUAUAACACGGAGAAUAAAUAAAUAAUUAAAAAGGGUAAAUAAUUCAUAGCUAAAGGUCGUGCAAGCGCGCAGAGUACUGAAUAAGUAGUGUAACUAAGAAAAUUUGAUAUUGUAAACAAGAGCAAUAAAUAUUUCAUUCUACGUUAAUACCAAAGAUCAUAUAACAAGAGUUAUUACAAAGUCGCAAGCAACAUAGAAAGCCAAAAAGACCAAAAUAGAAUUACUAGUCAUAAAUGAUUACUCCUUGCCUUAAAAUAUUUAAUCACUCUAUUAACCUCAAUAAAGUCUACAGAGUUUCAUGUCCUACAGCCACAAAGUUCAUAGGUGUACUCAACCGGAUAGGAAAAGGAUCUAUUUUUACUUUCCUUUCCUUAGUCGUGACUCCAUCUGUCUCGAUUUCCUUAGGAAUUCUAUAAGGUAGUUUAUUUAGACCUGGAGAUACCCAUCCUUUGCUAUAGUAAGGCUUAAAUCGAGGUCCUGUCCAAAAUAGGCGACGUAUUACAAGCUUAUUCUUGUUAGCUCCCUUGCCAUAAACACGUAGUCCACGUAUAGCCUCAUUGAGCUUCUUUCUUGAAGCUCCAGGUCCUGGAGGAGUAUCGAUGUAGACCUCUAUAGUCCGUCUUAGUCUAUCAUCCAUUCGCUGCUUAUGAAGUCUCCUAAGAUCUUUGACAAGAACUCCUCCUAAGAUAAAUUGUUCGGUCCUAUCAAUUUCUGUCCAUCCCUUAUUCUUGACACUUUUCAUACCCAUAUUGUCCUUCUUCAUGUCUACAAAACAAAUGUAAUCGAUUUAAUUAGACAAUCUAAUUAAACCGUAAAAGAAAGUCUACAGAAUCCUAACCUAGUUGCUCUGAUACCACAAUUGUAACACCCUAAAUUUAACACGUGCGGAGCACGUGAAGAAGGAGGUUACUCACAAAUCAUAAUCUUUACUCAUAAGUUUCAAACUGAAAUUCCUCCAAUUCUUAUUCAAAUAAAUCCAUAAAUCCAAACGUCAAAUACUAAAUAAUCUCUCUCGAGGACAUAUAAAAAUAAUAACAAAAGUCUCAAACUCCAAAUUACACGUUCAUAAUAAAAGUAACUAAAUAGAAACACAAGUUUAUUCCUCCUCUUAUUCAAUAGCAAACGGAAACUGGAAAUCACUAACUCCAAAGCUCAGUGCACCUCUCAAAAGAAACUUAAUCUGCAAAAAGUAAUGACGAGGGGUGAGCCGUCAACUCGGUAAGUAAAACCAUUCCUAACACACUAGGCCUAUCGAUACCAUAAAUAUUGUAAGCCUUCUUUUGUUUAAAGCAUAUAUCAUAAUCCAUAAUUUUCAUAAAACGAUAUAUCACAAUAACAUAAGAUAAUUUCUUAAUAAUUCAGAAUAUUCAAAAGCAUAUUUACUUACGAAUCAAAUCAUGUAAUACGUAUACAGAAAACAAACAGGUUAGCUCAUGUCACAUAGUGUCACCUAUAGUCCCGGUGACCCGGCCAGAAACAUAAUCAGAAUAUCGUGUGCACACUCAGAACAGAAACCCAGUACUGGUCCAAACGGAUAUAUCGUAUAUUACGAUCAGAAUCAGAAUCAGACUAACUAUGGACAAUGAGCCAAAGCAUUAAGAAUCUCAUACAAUCAUCAAUAAUUGAAAUCAAACAUAGGUACAAAACAUUCGUAUCAGUUUCAUAAAAGUUCAUAUCAAUAAUAUAGGCUUGCAUAACAUUUUAAAGAUAACAUCCUAAAAGGUUGUCAUGUCAUAAAAAUAACUUACAUAUUCAAAAGCAUUUAUAAAAUACUUUGUUAAAAAGAAUGGUUUGAAAACAUUUACAUAAAGCUAAUUUUGUUAUCAAAAUUAGUAAUCCUUUAAGUAGUAUCAAAACAUUUAUACUUAUAAUAAUAAUAUCAAAAUACUUAUACAUAUCUAGUACAUUAGGAAUGAAGUUACUUACCUCGACAAAUGAACUUGGAUUAACACAGCUCUAAGCUUAGGCCACCCAUAAUUCUCAAUGAAAGCCCAAUUUCCAUAAUUUAAUAUGUAUGGGAAUUUGUGGCGUUACAGCAGUACUAACAUGGGUGAACUCUUGGGAUGUCCUCGUGUUGCACCCCUCAUUUUGUCUUUUCGGCCGGUUAAUCCUCUUUUCGCGGCCGACUCCUUUGCUUUCGCGGGUUUCGAUCGCCGACGCGGGGUCUCCGGGGCACCUCCGACUCGCCAGGGAGAGCGAAAAGCGCUUCAGAGGGGUGAAUCAUGCGGCGGCCAAGUCGGGGCAGGCGACGGGGGCACAGAUUACGUAGAUUUGUAGUGCACAUGCUGAUGGCUGCGACGAUACCAGCACUGAUGCACCGAAUCCCAUCUGAACUCCGCAGUCAAGUGUGCUCGGGCGGGAGUAGUACUAACAUGGGUGACCUCGUGGGAUGUCCUCGUGUUGCACCCCUUAUUUUGUCUUUCGGCCAGUUAAUCCUCUUUUCGCGGCUGAAUCCUUCACUUUGCUAGCGUUCGCGGGUUUCGAUCGCCGGCGAGGGGUCUCCGGGGCACCUCCGACUCGCCGGGGAGAGUGAAAAGCGCUCCGGAGGGGUGAAUCGUGCGGGGGCCGAGUCGGGGCAGGCGAGGGGGCACAGAUUAAGUAGAUUUGUAGUGCACAUGCUGAUGGGUGCGACCAUACCGGCACUAAGGCACCGAAUCCCAUCAGAACUCCGCAGUCAAGCGUGCUCGGGCGGGAGUAGUACUAAUAUGGGUGACCUCGUGGGAUGUCCUCGUGUUGCACCCCUCAUUUUGUCUUUUUGGCCGGGUAAUCCUCUUUUCGCGGCCGACUCCUUCACUUUUACGUGCGUUCGCGGGGUUCGAUUGUCGGCGCGGGGCCUCCGGGGCACCUCCGACCCGCCGGGGAGCGUGAAAAGCGCUCCGGAGGGGUGAAUCGUGCAGGGGCCGAGUCGGGGAAGGCGAGGGAGGCACGGAUUAAGUAGAUUUGUAGUGCACAUGUUGAUGGGUGCGACUAUACCAGCACUAUUGCACUGAAUCCCAUCAGAACUCCGCAGUGAAACGUGCUCGGGCGGGAGCAAUACUAACAUGGGUGACCUCUUGGGAAGUCCUCGUGUUGUACCCUUCAUUUUGUCUUUUCGGCCGGUUAAUACUAUUUUAGCGGCCGACUCCUUCACUUUUGCGUGCAUUCGCAGGUUUUGAUCGCCGGCGCGGUCUUUGGGGCACGGGUUAAGUAGAUUUGCAGUGCACAUGCUAAAAGGUGCGACCAUACCAGUAGUAAUGCAUCGGAUUCUAUCAGAACUCUGCAGUUAAGCGUGCUUGGGCGAGAGCAGUAAUAAGAUGGGUGACCUCUUGGGACGUCCUCGUGAUGCAACCCUCCUUUUGUCUUUUCGGCCGGUUAAUCCUCUUUUCGCGCCCGACUCCUUCACUGUUACGUUUGUUCGAGGGUUUCGAUCGCCGGCGCGGGGUCUUUGGGGCACCUCCGAUCCGCCGGGGAGCGUGAAAAGCGCCCCGGAGGGGUGAAUCGUGCGGUUCCCGAGUCGGUGCAGGCGAGGGGGGCACGAGUUAAGUAGAUUUAUAGUGCACAUGUUGGUGGAUGCGACCAUACCAGAACUAAUGCACCGGAUCCCAUCAGAACUCUGCAGUCAAGCGUGCUUGGGCAAGAGCAGUACUAAGAUGGGUGACCUCCUGGGAGGUCCUCGUGUUGCACCCCUCCUUUUGUCUUUUGGGCCGGUUAAUCCUAUUUUCGCGGCCAACUCCUUCACUUUUGCAUGCGUUCGCGGGUUCGAUCGCCGGCGCGGGGUCUCUGGUGCACCUCCGACCUACCGGGGAGCGUGAAAAGCCCCCCGGAGGGGUGAAUCGUGCGGCGGCCGAGUCGAGGCCGGUGAGGGGGGCACGAGUUAAGUAAAUUUGCAGUGCACAUGCUGAUGGGUACGACCAUACUAGCACUAAUGCACCGGAUCCCAUCAGAACUCCGCAGUUAAGCGUACUUGGGCGAGAGCAAUACUAAGAUAGGUGAUCUCUUGGAAAGUGCUCGUGUUGCUAUUAAUUUCUUAUCUUUUCUUAUCUUUUUGAAGUUGUGAAAAGAUAAACUAUAGUUUGCAAUAAGAACAGUGUUGGCUAAGUGUUGACGGUAGAAAGAAUUUAGAGAUAAUUUUUAAUAAAGAUGGUUAAUUUGGAAAUUUUAUAUGCGUUUAGUGAAUGAAUAGUGUUGCAUGUAUUUAAAAUAGCACAAAAUUUAAUACAAAAGUAUAAAAAAUUCAAAAAAAAUCUUGUGCUGUGGUGGAUUCUUUUCUUGUAAUGAAACGUUUUAUUUAUUUUUAGUGAUGGCAUACUAUUUUUUAUAUUAUUUUUUUUUCUUAUAUAUUGGUAUUGUCAGCCAACAGAUGAAUAAAUGGUAAACUAUUGAUGUGAAAAAUCUCUGCCACCUUUUCGAUUUUUUUUUUAAAAGAUAGAGAGAUAAAUGAUUUCAAAUUAAUCUUUUAACUCUCUUAACUUUUGUCAAAUUUAAAUUUGAAUAGCCAACAAAAUAAAAUUAAUUGAAAACUCUACCUCCGUACUCCGAGUGCAAUUAUUUUGACUCAAAUGAAUGUCUUAAAAAUUUGAAAAAACAGACCAGCACAUUGAAUAUAUAAAAUGUGCCUGUAUAUAUAUCACACCCUGCCAAUCACGGUGUUAUAAUAAUGGAAUCAUUGAUCAGUAAAUAUAUCUUACUGUCCUUUUCUCAUGCGCAUGCGUCAUUACGAAAUCAAAGUUAACAGUGUUAUAACUAAUCACAUUUGAAAAUAUUCAUAUGAGGAGUCAAAGAUGCUUGCAAACAGUUAGUCCACAUUUGCGAGCAAGCGUGAUUAUAUAUAAUGUGCUUCUCUAUUAUAGUGUGUGAUCAAUCAGGCAAGCUUAAUUUAGCUGAUCAUCAGUAUCUAUGGAUGCGAAUCAAGAUCAAGGAGCAAAAGAGUUGUUCCAAGGCCAAGCUCAACUGUAUAAGCUCAUGUUUAGUCAUUUAAGCUCGAUGUCACUCAAGUGCGCGAUUGAGCUAGCUAGGCAUAGCGGAUAUAAUUCACAGCCACGGACGGGCCAUCACUCUUUCUGUGUUGGUCUCGGCACUUGAUAUUCAGCCUACAAAAACGACUGGCCUAUUCAGGCCAUGCGCUUGUUAGUUCACUCGGGCUGCUUUAAAAAAACCAAAGUCAAUGGGCAAGAAGAAGCAUACGGGCUCACAGCUGCUUCUACUCUGCUCAUAAAAGAUAAGCCCUACUGUUUGUCACCAACUGUUUCAGUAUUUGUUGACCCAUUUUUUGUCGCUCCAUAUCAGUCUUUAAGUAGUUGGUUCAAAGGGGCUGAGCUCACGUUGUGGGAAACUGUUCAUGGAAUCAAGUUCUGGGAAUUUAUGAAUCAAAACCCUGGAAUAAACCAGCGGUUCAAUGAAGCAAUGGCCAGUGACACUGAAAUAAUGACAAGCUUUGUUGUCAAAGCCGAGUGCAAGCAAAUCUUUGAAGGGUUGGGCACAUUGGUUGACGUAGGAGGUGGCAACGGAUCGUUUUCCAGAAUCAUCUCUGAAGCAUUCCCUGGAAUCAAAUGCACUGUACUCGACCUUCCGCAUGUUGUUGCUAACCUGCCUGAGGCCGACAACUUGAAAUACAUAGCAGGUGACAUGUUUCAGUUUAUCCCUCCGGCAGAUGCCUUUCUCUUCAAGGUAACAUCCAAUUUUAAAAAUUUAAAACGACUUCUUAACCGUUUUCGUGAAUACCAGAUGAUUUAUUUCAAUUGUUCUGUGCGCAGCACAUAUAUCCGGACGUUUGAAUCUUACAAAAUCAGGAUUUGAAUGAUUCAAAUCAGAUUUAAAGCAACUGCAAAAUGCUAUACAACUCUAAAUUUAAUUAACAUUUGGAUUUUACAGAAUCUAGAAGUUUAGGCUUGAGCAUGACCAUUUACGUAGUCAUUCUCUAGUGCGCUUACCCGCAUUUUUUCAAGUGUAUAUAACUAUUCAUUUCACAUAUGACAAUUCAUGAUAAUUUGUAUUCUGAAAGAGUGUAUAUAAUAUAAUAUAUUUUUGUAAACGAAGGAAACAGCAGCUUUGUGGCAUUGGAUUUAUACGGUCCCCCGGUAAUUAAACAAAAACAAUUAACUUUUUAUGCAAUUAUUGUUACCGAACACAUUUUUAAAUAAUAUAUCCAACAGUGCAUAGCAGUAGGUCUUUCGAAAACUCACUAAAUUUAACAUUAAAAUAUCAAUAUAUUAAUAAAAAAAGUUUAUUCUUUUAUCACAUACUGAGUUGGUGGAAUAAUCCCAAGCAAUUUUUUUCGGCCUGUACGUCAGUUUAGUUGCAAACAAAUUUUAAAAUUACAAUAAAAUAAAGAAAUUGUGAGAAUGGAACAGCUCCCCCUGAAGCUUACAUUUAAUUUAAUUACAAAGCCCCACGAGCAGGCAGAUGUUUAUUUCAAAACCAAAAAUGGACGAGGAAAAGGUUACCCAAUUGAGAAUCAGAGCAUGCAUCAGACGAGCUCAAUAUCAUCAGACAAUUUUUUUUUCUUUUUCUGCAUAUAAAUUAAUUAUGUAUAACAUUGAAACUUAUUUUUCCAUAACUUAUAUGUAUAUGUACAAAUGUGUGUGUUUAUAGGCAGAGUAAUAAAACGCUUUAUCUACAACACUAUAAAAUUAUUUUACAAUAUUUAAAACAACGAAUCUGCAUUCUAAAAAGUGUGAUUUCUGUAUGCAUAUAGAUAGAUCAAGGGGUGGGCAAAAUCGGGUUCGGAUCAACCCAAUCGGAUUUCGGAUUGAUCGGGUUGGAGAGAAAUUCAUCCGAACUCAACCCGAAUUUCAGAUCGGAUCGGAUCGGAUCGGGUUGUAUUCGGUUCGGGUCGGAUCAAAUCUAAAAUUCGGAUCAAUUUCCGGUCAAUUCGGGUUAAGGACAAAAAAGAGUUAUUUUGUUAAUUUUGGGGUUGUUUAAUAAUUAUUUAAUAAUUACAAUAUCACUUUUAUACAAUUAGUUCAUUUUAGUCCAUUUCCACUUUCGACUUUCCAAUGAUUGUCAUAAAAAAAAUAUAUAAACUAAAAUAGAAAUGAAAAAGUUGUGAGCUUGAGGACUUGGUGCCGUGAAUCUCGGUCUCGGUCUCGGUCUCGUUGGAAGAACAACCAUGGAUCACUUCGCGCGGGUCAAGCAGCAGCCGAUGGAUCAAGCGGUAAUGGGUUUCAUCGAUGGCUCAUGGCUUCACGGGUUUCGUCGGUGGCUACCGGAAAAGCAAAUCCGAUUGAAGUGAAGUGAAGCAACCGUCGAUGCAGCAGCAAGCAGAUCCUGUCGUCAAUGCAGCAGAUCUGGUCAAGUGGUGUGCUGCCUCUAGCCUGCUGCUGUGCUAACCGUUUGUGGUUAUGUUGUUGCUUGUAGUUGUUUGAGUGAGUUGUGAGGAAAAAGAGGAAGAAGAUAAAGAAGAUAAAGAAGAGAUUGAAGAGAAAGAACAUGGAGAGUGUUGGUGUGAGGCUGUGAGGCUGUGAGCCAUGGUGUUCGUAUCUGCUGUGUAGCCAUUUAGAUUUUGUUGGUUUUUUUUUUUGUUUAAGCAACCCGAUCGGGUUUUCGGAUCGGAUCGGGUCAAAGAUACAACUCGAUCGGGUUUCAAAGAUUUAAUCCGAUCGGGUUUUAUUCACGACCCGAUCCGAUCCGAACCUAAAAAUUUUCGGAUCAGAUCGGGUCGGAUCGGGUAUUUUGCCCACCCCGACGCACAAACUGUUGGGAUUUUAUUAAAAAGAAAAAGUAUUCUAUAUUUUAACUAAAAUGUUAGAUCAAACAACUGAACUGCACUAUAAGUAGUGGAUAGUAAUUAAAUGAGUGAUUGGCAUGGUUGCAGUUGGUUUUUCAUGGAUUAGGUGAUGAGGAUGGGUUGAAGAUACUGAAGAAACGCAGAGCAGCAAUUGCAAGCAAUGGUGAGAGAGGAAAGGUAAUAAUAAUAGAUAUUGUUAUCAAUGCAGAGGAAGAGGAACACGAAUUAACCGAAACAAAGUUCUUGUUUGACAUUGUGAUGAGCGUUAACGCCACUGGAAAAGAGAGAACUGAAAGUGAAUGGGCAAAGCUAUUCUUCGAUGCUUGUUUCAGUCACUACAAAAUAACACCUAUAUUUGGCAUGAGGUUCCUCAUUGAAAUCUAUCCAUAAAGAAUUGAGCAACCGUAUUCCCGCAAGUCUCAUGUACAGCUUGAUGGAAUAGCAAAAUAUCGUUCAAGAUUUAAGUGUACGUGGUAGUUGAAAUGUCUCGAAAUGACUAGAAAAUGAGGUGACACGCGGGUUUAAAUAGAGGAUGAGUCACUCAAAACAAGUAACUGCAAAAUAAUUUAUAUUGGUACUUUGGAUAUUUACAAUUAGGUUGUACAUUAAUGACAAAUGAUUCAAAAUUUAUCUUUGCAAUGUCAGUAAAAAAAAUAAUUAGUAAAAAAUUAAAAAAGUAAAAAUAACCUAUUCAUAUUAAUGAGUAAUAUUACUAUUAAAAAUUAAUAUUUCAAAAGUAUAACAUCCCCACGAUUCUUCUAAGCCAAUCAGAAACAUCAUCAGCUAAGAUUGUUUGAUGUAAGACAAAAUUGAAGUUUACUUAUUUUAUUUAGUAUUUUAAUUUUUUCAAGCUGAAUUUAUAAUUGGACUUAUAUUUGGGGGUGCAUGGAUUCUCUUUUCCGGUUUACUAUUAGAAAGAUUAUGUCACGGGUUUAAUAAUUUUUUAUCAUUAAAAUCCUUAUUUUAUGCGAGGGUUUAAUCUAUCUUGAUCACAUUUCCACUGUGUUAUUAAGAAAAUCUUCAAUUAACAUGCAGUAUAAUAUCCAAGUCAACUCAAUCAAGAGGCUAAUUAAAACUGAGGAUCAAAAAGCACAAUCAACCUUACAUAACAAGCAAGAAUAAUGAAAGCCUUGAAUUAAUCACUAGCCGUUAGUCCUCUAUCCGUUUCUUUUAAUUUAACUAGGUGGAAGCCAAGAAUCUUGAGCAAAACGCUAUGCCCCAUAUUGUAUAUGUAUCCAACAAUUCGUCAAUGAAACUUUUUUUUAUGGUAUCACAGCCAAUCUUGAGAAUCACAGACAUGCAUGGUUAUUAUGUUUCAAUGAAAAAAAGUUUGCCACUAGUGAACCUCUUAAGAAAGUUGGCUUGCUUGAUUGUAGAUCAGUAUACAAAAGAAAUUCAAAUCUAUUUGUGAUUAUUUGGCUGCCAUCAAGAAACCAGUGGAAGAUGUUGAUAAACAGUGGCAAUUGGCACGUGGACUUGGACCAGACCUGAGACCUCUCAAGGUAGCGAUGCUGGGAAAUCCUCCAUACCGUCAAUUUGGUCCUUUUAUAUUACAAGGUUCAAAAAGUUGAAUUAAUUUUCUAUUAAUGCAAGCUAGUAUCCAAGGUGGUCAAUGGAUCUAGAGAUGGGGGAAAGAAAAAAAACACUUAAAGAAAGAUGUAAUUGAUUGAUUAUGUUAAAUGCUAGCUCAUUUGUAAAUUUGAAGGAUAACAAAGACUUUAUUAAAAGUGCAGUGUGAUUAUACAAAGAGUAGUGUUAGGCAUCUUGAGAUUUUAUCUCAAAUGAUACGAUAUACAUUAAGUGAAUGAUGGCAUAGUUUAAUUAACUCACGUAAUAUUUAUGAAAAAUUGUGAAUCACUUCAUGAAAAACAUGUUACAUACCAUGCAUAUCACAUAAUAUUUUAGUGUGUAUUAUCUUUUCUUUAAUGAUAAAUUGUAUUGUGGGCAUUUAAAUAUAUAAUAUUGUAAAAUUUAACUAAAGAGUUGGUGUAACAAAAUAUUUUGAUAAGGAUAUCUGAUGAAAUUUCAAAUAAAUUUCAUUUUCACCUUAAAUUUCAAGCGACCUGAAUAUAUGCACUAUGAUUUAUUCAGAGCAAUCCGAAACCGAAAUAAUAUGAGCUUUCAGAUUGAUUAAAUGUUUUUCCCAAUACAUUCAGAUUUCAGAAAGUUUCAAAAGAAAGCUGAAAAAAUAUAUCAAUAAUUAAAAUGAAAAAAGUUGGAAGGAGGUAUCUAAAAGUCAAUUUCAACGCCAAUGAUGUGUAAUUCCACAUGAGCAAACUAGUUGAUUGCCAUGAGAAAACGAAAAGAAAAGAGAGGUGCAUAAAAUUUAAUUUGACAAUAACAGCCACGUUCUCCCCCCCCCCCCCCCCCCAAAAAAAAGCAAAAAAAAGCAUAAAUUUCAUUUGACAAUGAUAUCCUGAUAUCCAUGAACUCAACUUGGGAAAGGAAAAACAAAAAAAAAAACCUCCAUCAUAUAGAAAUUUCAUUUGACAUAUUAUCAUUUAUCUUGCUUCGCUUCGUAUCAUUUGUGUAUUUUAUUGUCUUUGAAGCAUAUGAUUUUUUUUGUUUGGUACUAUGUUGGUGUUGUUUUAAUUUUCUAUAUAAGAAACGUGAUUGUUAUAUGGAAGACAUAUUUUGCAGAAAUAAUGGGAUUCAUUCUAAACUUAGACAUUGACAAGCUAGCCGAACACUACAAGAAAAUGGAACAUUUCUAAGGGCAACUACCCUUGGAAAUAGACGAAGACUCUCAGAAAAACUCAUUUUCAAGUAAGACAUGCCGUCGAUCGUCGUCGUAUUAAGUCUUAUCGGAAAUGUAAAAUUUCUGAUGAGUCGUUGGAGAAAAAAAAAAUUUCCGAGGAUGUUGCCGUCGGAUAUGGAAUUAAAUGCCCUCCGAAAUAAGAUAAGAUAAACCUAGUUAUUUCAGCUGCAACAUGCCCUCAAAAAUAAAAGAUACACUGUCGGAAAUAGACUUAUUUCAUUAAUUUUUUAUUGUUGAAAUAUCCAUAUUAGGGAAGUAAUGUAACAAACAUAAUAAUAAUAUACGAAAUAUACUAAAUGUAACUUCAUUAAUUUCAAAAAUUCAUAAAAUCACAUUCAUCAUGCAAAAAUGCAACAAAAAUAUCAAUUUUAUACUAUCUUUUACAGAAAAAAAAAUAUACCCAAGUAUAGACAAAAUGAUAUCACCAUAUCUUAAAUAUGUUCAAUCAUCCUCUAAAACAACUUCAGUUUCUGAAUCAUUUACCUCAACUUCAUCAUCCUCAUACCCAUCAUCAUCUUCUCCCGUCAAAACAAUGUCCUAGGUGAAAGAAGGAAUUUUAAUCAUUAGUAUUACCAAAACAAGAACUUGUAUGAAAUAUAAUCAAGAAACUGAGACUAAUGAGAAAAAUAUUGUAAUAAAAACAACUUUAUAUCGAUGCAUAGUCUCCAUUUCAAAAAAUCUAAUAAUUAUUCCAUCAUUCACCUAUAUUAGAAGCUUGUCCAUAAUUACUUAAGUUCAUCAACUAAUAGAGCAAUGACAAGUCACCAAUCAUUUUUCAUGAGAACUCAAAAUAUAGAACACUUCAUUCACUUAAUCUAUUAAUAAAAUGAAAUAAACAACUUAUAGCUUCUGAGAUGAUUCUUGUGCAGACUUUCCAAGAACAAGUUUUAUCAUUCUUUUCAACUUCUUGAUUUCUUUCUCUAAGUCUUUUACUUUUACUUCCAAAUUACUACAUUGAUGCUUGUUACCUCCUUAAAUUGGCGAACCAUACACAUCCUUGCCUUUGAUGCCUGCUCCCUAACCAACAACACGACCAUGUGCUGCUUCUCUUGUCACUUCUCGAGAUAUUUUCCAUUCAUCCACUGGCAAGCCUUGAUCUAUAACAGUGGAUCUCAUUGAUUCCAUUGUUUCCUAUAAUAAAUACAAACAUUUGUGUUAGUGCAUAUAGUAAUGAAAUCAUGCAAAUAAAUCAGGAAUAUUAUGAAAAUUUAAUAUCAAAUACACACAUGCAUUUCCUUUGCCUUGUUACUUGCCCAUGUCCCCUUACAUGAAACAUCUUGAAUAAAUCAAGUGGACUAAGUUAAGUACCUAUUUGUUACUGCAAUAAAGAAUUGAAAUUCAAUAAGAUCAUAAUAAAUAAACACACUUCUUUUAUGAUCAAAGUCAAACAUGUUCUCUUCCCAUUUAUGCUCUAUGCUUGGCCAUUGGGACGAACUUGUAGUAUGAAUAAGUUUGGACUUGGUUCAAUUCCUCUUGAUCGUUCUGCCUGUUUUCUAUAUAUAAUUUUAAAAAAAGCAUAAAAUCAAUUUGGUUAUUCUGAACCCAUUGUUGAGUACUAGAGAAUUCAUAUUUAUAGAGGGUAAAAUUAUCAUUUUAUGCUUCAAGUCUCACUAACAUUUUCACUUUUACAUGUUUAAAUCCUCUAAGCUUUUAUUAUGUGUGUUUUAUUAUAAUUUAAGUAUUUUAUAUAUUUCAGAGAUAUUUUGGCCAUUUUAUGACUAACGAGAAGUCAGACAGCAAAACUAAUGGCAUUUUUGAACUCAUAAUGGUUGAAAAUCUUAGGAGGAGCAUAAAUGGAUAUUUGGCAUAUGGUAUUGUUCACAUAUUAGGUAAUAUUCACAAGUACAACACUGUUUCACAUAUACAGUAUGAUGAAGUGGCAUUGACCGAUGAUGUGGCAGGAUGUUAUUGGACCAAAAUACUGAUGUGGCAUUUACUGAUGAUGUGGCAGCAUCUUAUGGGACCGAAAUGUUGAUGUGGUGUUGACUAAUAAUGUGUACCAACCAAUCAAAGCUUGCCAUGUGGCGCAAUCCUGAGCGUACGAAUUAUUUUCAUCUGAUGGCCAUGAUUUAUCUAUUGUAUUUAUAAAUAGAGGGCUCCUCCACCUAAUUUGACACCUUUGAAUCCAUUUUCGAGCUCCAUUUUCUAUAAUUCUCUCUCCAUCUUGUAUUUUCUACAUAUUUUAUAAAAUUAUCAUUUUACUCAUUGUUCAAUUAUAAGUGGCUAGUUUAUUUCAAGCUUGGGUUGAAGGUGAAGGCUAAACAUGAUCCAUGGGCUUAGGUAAGUUUAUUUUCUUUUUCUCUCGACAAACAAUGUAUCCUAUCUAGAUGUUGCACAGUAUACCUGCUCCCUAGUGAAGGAUCGUUACUGUCUGGCACAAUGAGCACUUAACAUCAGAUUAAUUAGAGAGAAAAUUUCCCUAUAGUAUUUUGUGGGUUGUCUUGACUCAGUAUUGACAGAGAGUAUAUAUAAGCUAUUUAGUGGAUGGUCUUGCCAUGUUGUUGAUUAUUAUCAUCUGGCACAGCAUGUUCUCGACACCACACUUAGUGGAAGAUCAUUACCCCUUGCACACUGAGCGCUUGAUGUCAUAUUUAUUAGAGUGAGAAUUAUGAGGAGUUGAAAUACCCCCUUCAUGAAUUAAUUGGAACUAAAAAAGAAAUAUUAAGCCUAUGGUGAAAUGUUGAGUAUGAAUUUAGAGACUCAAGCUUUUCAUUUGCAUUAUUUUCAUCUUUAAUUCAUUCCCGUCAUUUUAUUUUAAAUCUUAAGAUAAAAAAAUUCACUCCCAGCCAACUCACAUAUACACCUAGAAAAUUAACCCUAUGCAUAAUUAAAUCUACAUUCUCGUGGGACCGAACACAAAAUCUAUUUACAAUAGAAUCGUGCCCUUGCGAGUACAAUAAAAUGUGGACAACACCCAUCAAGAACAACUCAGGUAUAAAGUACAUUGGCAAUAUUUAUAACUUUCUUAUUCCUAUAAUGAUUCUAGCAACUAUAAUUCACUGAUGAAUUAAAAGAAAAACGAAGCUUAAGAAAGAAAAUGGCAGAAAAGUAUUAUGCUAAUAGUCAUUAUUAGUACUUUCCACCCCUCAUCCAUCCAUUUGUCAACCAUUUUACCUACCAGCAGCCACAGUAGCACUCAAGAGAUAUACUACAUCAUUUAAAGAAACAAAACCCUUUGCAGACUUUAGAGAACAAAUUCUAACCUACAGAAUAUAAUUAGAAAAGCAGCCACCACAAAGCAUAGAAGCUUCUUUGUAUAGUGGUACAAUAAUCAAAACCUGAAACAUGUCCAUUAGUAUUAAAAUUGUUGACAUCAAACAAAAAUGAAACUAAAUAUCAUUUUUGCUAAGCUCUAAAUAUGACUAUCACUACUUUAAUUUUAUUUUAUUUUUGCUGAGCACUAACACUCUUGGAUUUCCUUUGAAUGUUCCUAAAUCUCAUCUUUAAUAACUAAUCAAAGUUGACUUUCUAAAAUAGUGUUUUUCAAUCCUAUAAAACAAAGCAAAUAAAUGCAAACUCGAUUAACCAAACAAGAAAUGGUUGUGCACUUUGUGCUCCUAAAUUAUGCAAACUAUGUAGUUAAUUACACAUUAACUACACCAUCGAGAAUUAUCACAAAACAACUUUAUUACAAAUUCAUGUUAAUGGAUCAAGAAAUUGCCAAUUAAGUUUUAAGGAACUUGGUGAAAUUCAAGUCACUAAGACCUAGAAAGUAAAACUUUAAUAAGAUUGAAAAGCAAGAAAUGAAAAUAAACAACUGAAAGAAGAAUAAAAAUUACAAGUAUCAAAACUAGAUCAAGAGAUGCCUACAAAGAGUUGAUGAGUUGACUCGGAGAGACACAGAAGAUGCACAAAGUUGUGAAUCUACAACUCUAAAACCCUAGAAAAUUUAUGAUAUUAAAGAAAUAUCAUGAAGAGGGAUACGGAUUGGAGAAACUGUAGGAAAAGCUAAAAAGAGUUAAAAAUUACAAACUAAAAAAUUUUAAGUAAAUUUACUUGGAGGUGCUUCUACAUGCGAACAAGAUACAAAGAGUGAGAGAGUAGCAGAUGGUAAGAUGAAAAUAGUGUCUCCAUUUGUUCGUUUGAAUUUUCUUUUAAUCAAUGUCUUAUUUUGUUGAAGGGCUUUAUUUACUACCAAAGGGUUGGACUUUAUUUAAUUGGCUUUGUUACUUUUGUAUGAACUGAUAAUAUCUUAUUUUUGUUUUAUUUAUAUAUUUUUUUAUAUUUAUAGGGUUUAUUUCUGUUUUAUCUUUUUUAUAGGAGGUUCAGAGAUUUAAUUUUAAUUUAGUAUUAUAUUUCCUACCACAAAUUCAUUAUUAGCAAGGGCAAAUUACCCUCUGAAAACUUUAUCACUUUUUUAAUGAUUUUCCAACAACUCCUUUAUGUCCUUGUAAAAAGUGCUUAUUAUCGAGGGUAAACAAUGCCCUUGGAAAUAUUUGUUCGUUAAUAUAGCUUUUUUUUGUAGUGCGUUGGCAAUGUUAUGAAGAAAAUCUAGACUUGAAUGAUAGUUGGCUAUCUUUGUUUGGUGAGUUUGCACGUUACAGGAUUGUGUGAGAUGAUUCUAUUGUAAACACCAUGAGAUUAUAUUUGUCCCAAGGUAAACACAAAAGCAUGUUGUGCAACAUUCUAUUUCAAGGUAGGGUUGCCAAAAAAGUCCAAGCCGAGCUGCAUGGAUUGGGCCUGGAUAUGGGCUGAAAAAUAUGAAGCCCGCAUAGACUGGGCCUAAAUAAGGGCCUAGAAAAUGCCCGAGCAUUUUAAUUUAUAAAUAAAAAAAAUAUCAAAUUAAAAAAUUAAAAUACUAUAUUAACUUUUUUUUAUAUUAGUAUUUACGGGUGGGUAUGUGUUGGUUUGGUUUGGGUUUACUUUAAACCCAAACCAAACCAACCCAAAUAAUUUCAACCCAACCCAAACCAACCCAUUUGGAUUUGGUUUGGGUUUGGUUUGAAUUUUAUUAUCAAAAUUUUUUUGAUAAAUUUAAUUAUAUACAAAUUAUAAUAAUUAUUAAUUGUUAUUAAUUAUUAAAUUGAUACUCAAAUAUGAAAAAAUUAUAGUGAAUAAAAAUAAAAAUAAUAAAUUUUACAAUAACUUAAUCCUUAAAUUAAAGAAUACUAGAAAAUUAAAAUAAAGUUUAAUAACAAAAAUCAUUAAUUCUCAAUAAAAAAGAACGUAAACUCUAAUAAUAAACUUUCACAAACAUGACAUCAACAGGUAAAUUCAAAGAAAGCAAAUAAAAAAAAUUAUGUGAGUGCCAUUUAGUUAAAAUAAUAAAAUUUCUUUAACUAAAAAAAUGUAUCCUUUGACUUAUAAUUAUUGAGAUGAUAAUUUUCUAUCAAAUGGUGUUUUUUUUUUUCAAUAGGUUGAUUGCUCAUGAAUUUCAAGAUGGAGGAUCAAUGCCAAUAAAUCCCAUCAAAAAAAAAAAAACGGAGUAUUAUUUAUGCUACAAUAUCAAUAUAGCAAACAAAUGUUAAUUUUAUUUAUAAUAAGGAUUUAUAAUUUCUGUCACAAUAAUAUUUUAUCAGUGGCGAAAGAUUAUUUGUCAUAAUUAUUAAUUAUUUCCUUCCAAUGGGCUAGGUAACUAUGCCCUCAAAAACCAUCUCAACAUUAUUACUAUAAUUUUCCUUAAUUUAAAUACGAAAACAACAAUAUAGAUUUGGUGUUUUUCUUAUUAUUGUUAGAAACAUUAAAGCGGUAAAUUUCAAAAAAAUGAUUUCAUUUCAUCAGACACUAAUUUCAUCUCAUUUAAUUAUUUACAGUAACUCAUGAGGCAUUUGCAUCUUAAUAAUCCUUUGUGGCAUUUUAUCUAUGAGAUAUGCGAUUGUUGAAACAACCUCGAUCAAAUGCUCAAAUGGUAAUAAAGAUUCAGAUAACAUUGUAAAGGUAGUCUUUAUUAUAUGUCUAUGCUUCCUUUCAGCAGCUCUAUUUUGUUAAGGAGUAUAAAGACAUGAAGUAUGUUUGAUGAUUCCAGAUUAUUAAAGGUCUUGUUGGAAAAUGAUAGAGAUUCUCUUUAUUUUCUACAACAAAGUCAAAAGAGUGAAAUUCCACUGAACAAUUUAUAUCAUCUAUAAGUUUGUUAACUAACAAGAGGUUCUCUUUAAGUUUGAAAGCAAGCAAAAAAAAUUUUGAAGUUUGAUUUCCUAUGCGUGGUAUCACCAAUAUGAGAACUAGGUAAGUUUUGGACAUUCCCUACAAAAAUCUUAUCAAAACAUUUGCAAGGAAUAAAUUUCCUAAACCUACUAGUGUUAUUUAUCAUGUGGGUAGUAGCUCCUAAAUCAGGAUAAAGUUGUGGGUCGUUCUCAUCAUGCAGAUUCAUGGCCACAAGGGCUUGUGGUACUGCCUUUUAAAGAGUAAAGUAGUAGUACCUUUGUUUAUAAGCAGUAGCAUUAUGGUUAGUCUUGCCAUAAAUUUUAUGUAUUAUACCUAAUUUAGAAUUAUGUUUCCACUUAUUGGUGUCUGUGUUGUAAUGUUUUGGUGUAGGUGGCAGAUUGGACCAUUAUUGUUGAACUUUAGCUACAGCAAAGAGUUGUUAGAGGGUAAUUGAUUCAUGUUGAAAGAUUGAUUCAUGUUGUUAUGCCCACUGUUAAAGGGAAAAUUUCCUCUUCCACGAAGGUUGUUGUUGAAGCAUCCUUUUUGUCCUUGUCCUAAAAAACAUUUCCCAUGUCCACGUUGGCCAAAGAAAGCUUGCUGUGGAUCCGCUUCUUUGCCAUCAUUUUACUGAGCGAUCACAGUAUGCUCAUGGCUUUUUAAGGAUGAUAGGAAUAAUUUUAAACUUGGAUAAGAUGGCUUGGUCAACACAACCAUUUUUAAGUCAACAGACUCGAUUCUCAGUGCUCAUGUUGUUGAAAAGACUUUGUCAUCAUCAGUCAAUGGCUUUCCAAUGGCAGCUAGAUUUUCGUACAGGCCUUUGAAUUUUUUAAGAAGUCGUCAAGCUUCAGGAAGCUUUCCUUAGGGAGAAUAGAUUAUCUUUAAGCCAAGACUCAUGCUCCUUCGUAGCGGGGGCUUGUACUCUUAAAUGAAGAGAUAAACUUCUCUUGUUGUUUGUCAUCCAACUAUUGGUAUAAGGAUGUCUUCCAUCAUCAUUCCAUGUAACCAAGUAAAAUAGCCUAUAAUUGUCUGCUAAAAUUGAAAAGGUAGGGUUAGUGACAAACUAUCCAUUAUUUGGAAAUUGUUUAGGGUAGUGCAUCAUUAGAGAUGUGAUUGGCGAGUCCUAGGUUGCUGAUCAAGAGAAGGAUUUAGGACCUCCAUAAGAGAUAAUUGUUGCUAGAGAGUCUGACAGAGAUUAGGUUGGCACAUUGAUGGACAAUUUACCGAGAGAGUUUGGCCUCAAUUUGAGUGUUACAUAAAGAAGCAUAAGCUCAGAUACUAUGGUAACUUUCAAGAGUAUUGUAUGUUGGAUCCAUCUCAUUUUGGUGGUCCAAGCCGAAAGCUUCCAUUAGAUUGGGUGUUUAAGUAAUUAAAGAAAGAUUGGUAGGCUAAGUGAAAUUAGCGUAUAUAAUUUAUAAAGGCAAAUAAAUGAAAGCAGUAGUAACAUGAGAAGAACACAAAAAUGUGAGAGAGAGAGAUGAAAAAAAAUGCAAUGGCCCACUAUAUCAAUUUGUGUUCAAGGGUUUCAAUAUUUGAUUAGGCGAUCAGAAGCAGAAUUUAACUCCAUUUUCUCCUGAAAUACCUACUUGUUAGAGAGACAUAUAUUAGAGUGUUGUUGUAAGUCAAGAUUAUUAAGAUUCUUGAUGUUGUUAAUCUCAAGUGUUAUCUAGAGAAGAAUUUGUGUUCUUGUCCCAUUAUUUAUAUAGUGGAAGGUUAUAUCAGACCGCAAUCCUAUAAUAUUUCCCGAUUUGGGUUUUCUUUGUAAAAAUAUGUGUCUUGUGGUUGAUUUAUUGCAUUAAAUUGUGUUGGUUUUUUUUUGUGUAUUAAUUCGUAGUACACAUCAACUUUUAAUCACACAAAGAGGAAAAUAGUUUGUUUUUACUUUAUUUGCAACUAUUUGUGUGGGUCCCUUUCCUAACAUUAUGAAUGACUGAAUGCUUUUGAUGUAUUUUCUUAAUGUACAAGAAGGAUUAUGUAUUUAUACAGGAGUUGAGGAAUUAUAUAUGGAAGAAAUAUAUUACAGAAAUAAUGAGAUUCAUUCUGAACUUAGACAUUAACUAGCCGUUGGUUAUGUUAUGAAGAAAAUCUAGACUUGAAUGGUAGUUGGCUAUCCAUUUUUUGGUAAGUCUGCAUGUCACGAGAUUAUGUGAGAUGAUUCCAUUGCAAGCCUUUGGUAAGAGCAAUACAAAUUGCCAUAUUUGUUUCCAAAGGUUUGUUACUUUCCUUGUUGAUGUUAGAUUGAGUUGAUGUGUUGAUCUUUUCCAUGUUGGUACAUUACGCGCGUGUCUGCAUAUAGUUCAUGUGUUGUGAUUGUUUGAAAUCCAUGAAUUCCACAUUUGGUGGGCAAAUUUUCCCACCACAUAAGAAGAGGAUAGAUGACUGACAAUUUGUGACGUAUUUUGGGCAAAUUGACUUAUAUCAUUAUAGUAUGAACGAAUCGUGAUAGAAUUUUGGUCUGUCAUAAAUCGAUGAUGGUUUUGUUAUAGAAUUAUUGUCUAUAAAGAAUUUAUGAUAGAAUAGUGAUAGAAAUUUUUUCUAUCAAGAAAUUGUGAUAGAAAUAUAAAUUUGACCAUGUUUGACCAAAAUUUUGAUUUAAUAUUUUAUUAAAAGAAAAAGAAAAAAAGGUGUAUUAUAAUUUCAUUGAUAAUUUAAAUUAUAUGAAAAAGUAAAUGAAGGAAUUGAACGGUGAGUUUUAUCAAAAUGCUACAAAAAGUACACCUCUCCAAACCUAAGAAAUUGAAACCUAGAAGCUCAAACCCUCACUCACGAUUAAAUAAUCUUCCUACAUUCACAGCCUAUUAACCUAAGUAAAAAAGUUGACUUUCAAAUCCCACCAAGAGGCCACACAGUAGAUGUCUUCCUAGCGGUUCUCUUCAAUUCACGAGAGUUUGAUCGAAAAUUAUGAAAGAGCUGGUGUUGAUUCUUGGCUUCAAUUCCAACAAAAGUGAAGCGGCGAGAAGAGAGAGGUAAGCAGAUAGAUACAGGUAAUGACAAGUAAUAUGUUGUUGGUGGUGGCUUGUGAGGUUUGGAUCAAGAUUCUAUCACAUCCUUCUACCACAGUGAUGUUACUUUCUAGAAAUCAUUAACUAAGGUAAUUUAACUAAUUAACUAAAUUUAAAUCUGUUAACUCUCAAUAUAAGGUUUACUUACAAAAAUGAACUCUAACUUGUCUUUUCAUUUGAUCACAUUAUGGCCAUUAUGUUUUUUUAGCCACCUAAAUUACGUUUGCCUGUGAUUUUCGGACACGAAGCCAUUAGGUAAUUCAAUUGAUCAACCUACUCUUUUUUUUCUUAAGUUCAUUUGCUUAAUUAUUCACUCUAUUGACUUAAUUAUCACUAGUGGCUUCCCUAAGAUUCUAGAGAUUGCAACUGUAUACACAUGGAUGACCCAACAAUCAAGUGAUCAACACAAUAAAUAAUAAUAUGAAUAAUCAUGAAAUAGGUAGGAGUUAGCUACUGAGAAAUAUUGUGCCAUAAUAUAAGAAACUUUGCAUCUUAUAACUUUUCCAGCCUUUUAUGAUGCAGAUUUUUCUGAAAGUUGAAUUGCAAUUCAAUGUUGCUUAUCCGAUUAUUUAUUGGACAAAAAGGAAUUUAAAAAUCAACUUUUAGUGAUUUAAAAAGAAUCGAACAUGCUACCAAGUCUCUUGUUAGAAGUUGUAAUUUCAUUGAUAGAUUCUAGGCUUCCAUGGACCUGUUAAGUAUUAAGUUAUCUCUUGCAAAAAAAAAAAAAAAAAUGUAUUCACUCUGCUAAGGGAACUAAUUAUUAUGGGAAAGGUAACGUUUCUAAUUCUGGAUAAUUUCUUUUUCUUUAAUGCAUAUAGCUAUUUUAGCCUACAUUUCUUUGUUAGUUAGAUAAUUCACAUAUAUGCAAAUGAAUUAUUUAUUUUAUUUACUUAUCUUUGAAAAAAAUAAAAAUAAAAGCAAUUUAAUAAACUGAUGUAAAUGCUAUUAUUAUUACUAAUUUGUUGGCUAUUUGCUAUGACUUCGACAAUGAUGUCUAUCAUAGAUAACAUUAUUUUCUUUUCUAAUUCUUCUAAAAGUAUCAAUUGAGAAUUUAGUGCAAACUUUAGCAAUUUCGCUAUAGAUUUAUUGUCAAAAUAGCUGAUGAAAGUUUAUAGGGGCUUUUUUUUUUUUUUUUUUUGCUUUUCUACAGUAAAAACAGCCCUUGCUAAAUGCAGGGGCUGUUUUCACUAUAGAACGACAGCAAGACAGCCUUUGUAGAUUUUUGAGGGGCNNNNNNNNNNNNNNNNNNNNNNNNNNNNNNNNNNNNNNNNNNNNNNNNNNNNNNNNNNNNNNNNNNNNNNNNNNNNNNNNNNNNNNNNNNNNNNNNNNNNUGGCAUUAUUUUUGAAGUUUGACAAUAUUAAUCUUGUGAUUAACACUUAAUGCAAAGAAAGGAAUACACUGAGGGUGAACUUAGUGAGGUUCUUUUGGAAUGGGCUAACCAUUUUUUCCACAUCCUUAUCGCAUUUGCAAAAUAGUUAGUAUGAGUAUGAAACUGUAGAUGGACCUUGUUAUUAGUUGUUACAAUUUGUUGAAAUUAAAGCUGUAGUGUUAAACUAUAAUGGUUGUUGUUAAGGAUUGCAGUAUAGAUGUUAUGCAUUUGAUAAUAUUAGGUAUUUUGAUUGAUUUUGGUGUAGAUUGGGUUGUUGGGUAUAGGUCAGAGUGUUGUUGUGUAUAUCGCUGGAUUUAGAGCGCUGUUGGAAGAUGGUGGGUUGUUACGUAUGAUUUGGAAUGUUGUUGGGUAUGCGGCUGGAAUUAUGAUCAAGAUGCAUGAGCCUUAAGUGGGUGAAUUUGAGGUUGGAUUUUAAAGUUCACUGAAGCACUCAACUACUUACAACAACUCCUAAAUGCAUAUGAAGUAAUUACUGCCACAAUAAUGGAGGUAUCGUUCAAAUUUGUAUUCUGAGACAAAGUCAUCUGGGUUUCAACCAUAAAUAAAAUAUGCAUUUGCAUAUAGUCUCAGUGUCUCCGAUGGCUGAUAUUUAGAAACUAUGACCAGCUCAGCUUAGGUGUUGAUGCAUUGACCAAUUAAAUCAACGAUAAAUAAAUUACUAGCAAGAUUAACAUUAUGAUAUCCCUGAAAAGUAUCGUCUGAUGAUUAUUAAUCCAUUAGAGGUAUCAUUUCUACUGAUAGAGAUGUUUCCAAGAAAACCGAGUUCAGGUUUUUUUGGUGAAAAUAAGUCCUGAAAAAGAACUUAGUACCUUCGCUUUAGAAUUGACAUUUGUGGAUCAGGAAUUGGCUUGGAACACAAGGGAAGGGUUUAGAUAAUUAGCACUCGCAAAUAAUACAACUCGUAUUAUUGAAAAAAUAAUAAUAAUAACUCAUAUUCUUACUUUGAUUGUUUACAAAGUGUGAAUUUACAAAAGUUAUGUACAUAAUGAAAUAGCUAGCUAUAAGAGAUUUAAUUACAUAACUACCUAAACUACAAAAUAUGUAAUGAAAUACUUCCUUUUUAAAGAUACAUGAUAUUCUAAAUUCUUGGUAGUGAAAUUCAAUGAUAGCCUUGACUUGUGCAAGCUCUGCUGUGUGUUUUAACCGUUGGUGAAUUUUCUUUUGUUGACCAUUUACAGCUUGCUUAUUAGUCCCCCUCAAGUUGGCAAGUGACAUACGAUCUAGAUUCUACGGUUUUGUCAAAAAUUGCCAAACAUGACUUUCGAGAGAGCGGUGAAUACAUCGACAAUUUCCAUGGAAGAAGGAACUAGUUUUGUCACCAUCGAAGGGACUGAUUUUUUUGCCAUCAGACCUUCUGCAUCCUUUUCUCGAAGAAAGUGAUAAUCAACCUCUAUAUGCUUGAAGCGAGAAUGGAAGACAAGAUUAAUAGUCAUGUAUAAAGCACUUAAAUUAUCACUAAGCAAUUGAGGACGUUGAGCGAGAGAAAUCCUUAUUUCAGGAAAGAGAUAUGUGAUCCAUGUUAGCUCAGUUGCUGUCAAAGCAAGUGCCUUAUAUUCAACCUCUUCAUUGGGUCUAGAUACUGUAGGUUGCUUUUCGGAGGACCAAGAGAUACAUUUAAGGCUUCGCGGUAACUUACUUUCAAUUCUCUGUCUAUGGUGUUAUCCCAUCACAUGCAAGUGGGAGAUAUUGGAAUUGGUGCCCAUAAUGGGCUAGAUAGGCCCAAGAAAAGAAACAUGUAAAAGCUUAUUUUAUACAGAGUUUAAUAUGACUAUUGCAAGUCUAAUUAGCUUUGAGAGUUAUGAAGUCUUUUGAUUGACUUCAAUCACUCUUAUUAGCUCCCAUAUAAACAUACCUAAUUACCUAUUGUAUCUAAAAUAGAUGACUAUGAUUCUGUACACGUGCAAUGAUUCCGAAGCAGCCAGCUAUAUGCUUGAUUUCUUCAAGCUAUGCUUAUAUAUAUUUAAAAAUUGAGAGCUACUUGCUUACAUUCGGUGGCUAUACAAAAUGAAUUUUUUUUUUUUUUACAGUUGCUUCAUUUACCAAAUUUGAGAAAUGAGAGCAAACAAAGGAAAAUGGAAGAGAAAUAAGAAAGUGGAAAAGAGAAAAGAGAAGAAAAGGAAAAUAAGAAAAAUAAGAAAGAAGCUGAAUGUGGGAAAAAAGAAAAAGAAAGGAAAAGGAGAAAAAAUAUUAGGGGAAAUAGAAUUAGAUAGUUAGAUCUACAUUAAGUGAGUUAGUGGGUAAUAGAUUUAUGAAAUUUAAGUAGUUGUGAUUUAAUUUGCCUUAUACGUACAAGUUUUUAUAUUAGUUCUAGCAAUUAAUUUUUAAUCCUAUAUUUUAGGAGAAAUCCAAAAAUCUAAGAACCCACACGAGCCCCCAACGAAUUCGGAGUGAAACAACCUCUGUGGGGAUACUAUUAUUACUAUUAUGUAUUCCAUGAAACAUUUAUGUUUAGUAGUAUGAUUUAAUAUAAUGUUAUGAUUACAUGUACAAAUAUUAUAUAUUUGAUUAAGUCAUAAAAUAUGACUUGCUUUUAUAAACUAUGUGCAUGCAUAUUGAGAGUUAUUUCCUUGGGUAUUAUUAGGUGCAGUUUUGUCAUGUAUGUAUUAUUUCCCAUGUUUACAGAUGCAUUACUUUAUUAUUAUUAUUAUUAUUAUAUAUAGUCGUUCUCUCAUACGGACACCCGCAACUUAAAAAAAAUGCGGGUGCUCACAUUUCGGCCGUUGGAUCCCAUCAACGGUUGGAUUAAAUUGUGAAAGUAAAAGCAACUUCGACAUUUUCUCUUGUGUGGGCAUGUCUUCAAAACUUUGGAAAAAAAAAUUAUUUCUUUUAUUUAAUGGGGAUCAGGCUACGGUGCAACUGUGGUACCGUGCCACAGUUGCAUUCAGCCGUUGAUGCACUUGAAUUGCUGGGGUCCACUGACAUUCAAUGGUUGGAUGCAACUGUGAUAUGGUACCACAGUUGCACCACAGGUUUCCCAUUUAAUUGGACCAUGAUAUACUAGUUUUUAAUUUCUCUCUCUUCUCCCAACUCCAUCUUCCCACACCAAAGAGCAAUCCGCAAUUAAUACCUAUAGCAAUUAGUUGUCUGCUAAUGAGAAGCGAAAUAUCAACGAUCUAGACCUGUUUGCUCCGAAACCAUGAACCAGAACUAGAGCAGGACCACCGCUUCUCGAAUAAUAUCCUCAGUGCUGUUAACUUAAAAUUUAGAUACUGCCCAUAGAAGCUGAGUUUAUGACCCCACUGGUGAAGUUUGAUUGGUAACUUAAUUUUUUUUUGUUUUUCUCUUCUCCUAUCUCCAUCUAAUGAGAUUUGGCAGUACUCUCACUCACGCACAUAUGAAAAUUGAAUGUAGAUUUUUUUAAUUCCUUUCCUUUUUUUCUCCCCCAAAACUAAAACUUGUUGAUUUUAAUUUUUUAAUUUUCAAAGAUAAAUAUACAGUUAUCAUCAUCACCAUUUUUGCUUCUCCAUCUUUCCAUCAUCAAAAUUAUCCUUCCGAUCGAAGAAGAUGAAGCAAAAGAAGAAAAACACACUUCAGUAAGUUACCCAAAAAAAAAAAAAUUAACGACCCAUCUAAAUAAUCAAGCUGAAAGGUAUCUAUAACAGAAGAUUUUCUCAAAAAAAAAAUUACGGAAAUUGAAGAAGAAAAAACACAGGCCAGGACAUUCUUAAGAAAUUUGAAAGUUCAUGAAAGAAGAGCAAAAUGAGGCAUUUAAGCCACAUCUAAGGAAUAUUAGAAGAGUAACAUGUUGGACAUGUCAUCUCCAGCCACGUCGCUGUUGAUGAUGAAGAUGAUCCAACGAUUUGGCUUCUUGGGUGUGGGAAGAUAGAGUUGGGAGAAGAGAGAGAAUCAGAGAAAUUAAAAACUAGUUAUCAUCGUCCCCAUUAAAUAAAAGAAAUAAUUUUUUUUCCAAAGUUUGAAGACAGGCCCACACAAGAGAAAAUGUCGGAGUUGCUUUUACUUUCACAAUUUAAUCCAGCCGUUGAUGGGAUCCAAUGGCCGAAACGUGAGCACCCGCAUUUUUUUGAAGUUGCGGGUGUCCGCGUGAGAGAACGACUGUACAUAUAUACAUAUAAAGUAGUUUUUUGGUCAGGGAUUUUAAAGUACGGAAAAGUCCGGAAAAGUUUUAAAACCACAUGGCUUUAAAGACCUACAGUUUUACGCUUUUAAAACCAUGCGUACUUUCCCGCACUUUAAAAUUCAUGACUGAAACAUUUCUAUAUAUAUAUAUAUAUGACCGCAAGCUCAUUAUUUUCCUAUUUAUCCCUUUUCAGCCAGGAUUUCGCAAGAUUUCGUGCUGAUCAAUUCUAGUCAAUUAAAGUUGGGCCACGAGACGUAUUGCCGCAUGACUUGCAUUUUGAACACGUUUAUGUUACUUAUGUUUUUAUGUAUAUAUAUUUGUAGGGUAAGUAUAUAUAGUGAGAUAUGAACUGUGUACGUUUUGAAUAUAUAUUUUCGGAUGAGGUAUAGAGGUUGUUAUGUGUUUAUAGUGGAGACCAUUUUUAUAUAUUCAUGAAUUAAAUUUGUGCCGUGAGUUUUAGUUAUUAGAUCGUAUGAUUCGCCUCGGAUUUGACAUAUAGGUCAGGGCAAGCCGUGUCAUGUGAUAAGGGUGUGACAGAAUGAAAAAUAUGAAGAAGAUAUUAGAAAACACAGGGAUUGAAAACAAGAGAAAAUGGCAGUGGGCUCUGGCAAUGUGAUACGAGGGGAUUUUCUUUUAUUAUAAUUAUCCUCCGACCAUAGACAUACAGUAGCAUGAUGGUUUUCUUUGAAAUUAUCCUUUGUCUCUAAUCAACUUGACAGUGAUAUAACUUAUUGUGAUCUGCUUCCGCAUUCAAGUAUCAAAAUGUAUGUUUUUGGAUAUCCUAUUAACUGUAUGUUGAAUAUGUACGGAUAUCAACACUUAUCAUUUUGAAGCUAUCAAAAGAUAGACUAUAGUUUGCAAUAAGAACAAUGUAGGUUGAGUUUUGUUGGUAGAAAGAACUUAGACAUAAAUUUUAAUGAAAAUGCCUAAUUUGGAAAAUUUGAUAUACGUUUAGUGAAUGAAAAAGGCUGCAUGUAUUUAAAAUAGCACAAAAUUUAAUGAAAAAAUUCUACGUGUUCAGUAUUAACUCAUGUUACGGAAAUGUGGGGUUGAGCAAUUACUAAUAUUCUAGUAGCUGCGACUUCUGGAGAAAUAUAAAUGUAGCGUAAACAAAUGCAAAGAAAAUAGGACACAAUAAUUUACAUGGUUCGGCGUAAAGCCUAUGUCCAUGGGCAAACACUGGAAAAUAAUUCUACUAAUAAUAGGAAUUUAUAAAAGUGGGAGAAACUCUCAACACCCCAAACCCCAAUACACUCAAAUGGAACCUCACUGGAACACUCAAGUUGAAGUUCUCUCAAAUCGCUUCACUUGCAAUUGCUCUCUACCACUACUACAAAAAUGACAUUUACUGACACUUCGUAAAAAGUGUCAGUAAUGGUAUACAUUUGGAUCAUUUUUUCCAUUUAACAAAUAUGUAUUAUAAAUCACUGGUACUAAGGUGUCAGUAGCAUAAAACUCAAUAAUUACUGAUACUUUAGUAUCAGUGAUAAAAACAAAUAUAAUUCUAAUUAUGUUUUUACUUGGACUCGAACUCAAUAUCUCCGAAGUUAAAAUUUUAAUUUCAAACUACAAACCACUUGUGUGCAUAUUUUCUUUGUUUGGUUAAACCGUAUAUAAUUAACUACAAACCCUUUGCUAUAAUUUAACACAAAAUUUUUGAUCUCCCUCCACCAAAAUUUGUUCCCUCUCAAACAAACUAAAAUCCAAAUCCCUAAAAUUCCAAGUGCCUAAAUCCCUAACUCUCCCUAAGCGCUAACCAGCGGCAGCCCCUCUUUAAGGCCUUACCAGCACGCACGAUGACAACGGCACACGCAACCCGCGCGGCGGCAGCCCAGCAGGUCUCACCACACACUACAGUAGCUCGCUCGCUUUCACUCUCUCUCUAAAGGCACACACAGCAGUGUCAACCCCUCUCUUUCACGCUCGUUUAGUCGCUCUCACUUUCUCCGUCUCUGGUCACCAUCUCACCCUCCAGUCUAAAUUAUUGCCGUUCCAGCCGCGUUCAGCCGUAGCUAUCGCGCCAGGUGCCUGAGACAGUGAGUUGAGAUUCCACUUUUUAAUUUUUCAUUAAUUUUUUGUCUGAAUUAGAUUAGUCAAAUACUUAAAUUAAUUGAGUUGUGAGUAAUACUGUAAUAAUAUAAUUUGCCCCGCAUCCCCUGAAGAAGGUAAGCAACUCCAUUUUUAGGGUUCGUGUAGUAGUUGUCUUGCCUGAAUCACCUUAGUAAUCAUAAGGUCGAUUUUCUCAAGAAGGGUAACUUCGAUCUUUUGGCAUUUUCAGUGCUUCUUCCGAAUCUCUCUUCACUGUAGCUUGCUUCUGCAUGUGAUUUGAGGGCCAAGAAUUUAUCUUAAGGGUGAAUCAUAUUAUGUUUCAAUUCUAUGUUUGACCCUUUUAACUUUUGAAUUUCAACAUUAUGUGUUUAGUGUUCCGUCAGUUGUUUUAUCAAAUACAUAGGCCUCUGGGCUUUAGACACUAGUGUUCAAAAUUGCCAUCUAGUUUUUAUGGUAUCUUUGAGCAGGGGUUCCGUUUCAUUUGCUUGAAUAUAUAAAAUAUCAGUUUUCAUUGUCAUGGAUAAAAAAAAAAACAAGGCUUUGGCCAAUGGUACCUCAGGAGGUCAAAGCCAAGGCUUCCAAAGACAAUGUUCCCACGAUCGAUGUGACUCAAUUUGGCUACUUUAAGGUUUUGGGUAAGGGCCUUUUGCUUGAGAACCAACUCGUUGUGGUGAAGCGUUUCCAAAACAGCCAAGAAGAAAAUUAAAAAAGCUGGUGGGUCUGUUGUGUUUACUGCUUAGGUUUAUUGUUAUUGCUUUUAUAAUUUUUUUUCUGAUAUUUUGGUUUCAGCUUUUGAGUAUUUGACUAUAUAGUUUUGGAUAUUAUCAUCGGAAACUUUUUGCUUUAUAUUAAGACCUGUUAUUGAUUAAUAAUAAUAAUAAUAAUAAAAAUAAAAAUAAUAUGUUACAGAAAAUGUUUUAAUUUCUUUCUUCCAUUCAGCACUCGUAGUAUUUAUUUGAUUCGAUUUCUGUCAUGGUGUGUUGAUUAUGCGGAUGAUAAGAUACUACCUUGCUCAUUUACUUAUGCUUGAUUCCUUAUACUAGAAACAUACCUCUAGUAGAGUUGCCAUUUAUCUACUUUAUUGUUGUAAAAUCUGUUAUAAAAUGUAUAAGCAAUCAUUCAUUUGAACUCUCUUUAUACGCUUAAAAUCUGAAUUCAUGUAUGAGGUGUUAGUGUCAAUGUUGUUGAUCAUUUCAGUAAGUAGUGCCAAUUUAUAAUGACCUUGGUGCAUUUCUAUUCAGUUAGUAAACUUUUGUCAUUUAAGUUGUUUAUUUGUUUAACAAAUGUAUAACUAGUUUCUACAAAUUUACUUUGUGUAUAAUAGAUGAUUCAAAAUCUUGGCAUAGAGGAAAGUGAAGUUUCUGAGGUAAAUAGGGUACUUUACAAAAACUAUACCACAUUAAUGGCUGGUCUAAGAUACAUUAUAUAUGUAAGUUUAAAUGCACUAUUAUUUAUAUACAUAUCCUUGCAAAAAAAAAACCAAUAAAAGCAGUUUCAUAAACUGAUGUAAAUGCUGUUAUUAUUGUUAAUUUACAGGCUAUCUGCUAUGACUUCAACAAUGAUGACUAUCAUAGGUAACAUUAUUUUCCUUUCUAAUUCAUCUGAAAGUGUUAAUUUGCAAGGGCUGUUUCUACUAUAGAACAGCAACAAGAGAGCCCCUGUAAAUUUCUAGUGGCUGUUUUCACUGCACAACAGCCCCUACAGAUUUCCCGGGGCUGUUGUUGCUAUUCUAAAGUCAAAACAACUCCUAUAAUUUUUUUGGGCUAUUUUGCAAUGAAAAUACUUUUGAGGAUUGUUGAGGAAGGAGGGGAAUGAGAGCGGUAGUUUUUUAGAAGGCUUGAUGAGAGUUUCAUAAAUUUGACAAGUUUUAUGAGAUUAAAGUCAAAGAAGUUUAUAUUAAGGCUGAAAGUUUGAGUGGGCAAAUGGAUGUUUUGAUUGCAGAUUUCUGUUGUUUGAUUAUAAAAAAUAGGAAGUUUUUAAUUAGAUUGACUUAGAUGUUUUGUUUUCUGUGACUUGUAGCAGGUUAUCCAACAUGGCUUCUUCAGACAACUUAAGCUAAGGUUCUUUAUUUCUAUAACUUUCAGUAUUAUUGUAAUCUUAUUUCUUAUUGUUUUAUUAGUUGUUGAAACAUCCUUCAAUUGCUUUGUUUAACUACUCACAAUCAAUUUGUUUUCCAUAAUCUAUUUCCAUACUAAUUGAUUUUAUGUUGUUGUAGGUGGGAAAAAAAUGAAGCUGCAGAUGGAUGUUGAGUGAUGUUCUUGUGCUUCUUUUUGGUGGAAACUAAAUUAGUACUUUGUGGUUGUUGAAAACUUAAUUUAGUACUUAUAUUUUUCUUUUCCAGAUAUUGGUGUAGUUGAAUCAUGUGAAUUUGAGUGAUGUAUUUGGGAUGUUUAUUAUGUGAAUUAUAUUGCGACAUUUUAUAUAUUUAAUAUAUUUUGAGCUUUCUUUUGGUUGUAAAACAUUCAGGAAAAAUAUAAUUAGAAUAAAAAAAAUUUAUUAAGCAAUCCUGCAUAACAUUAUUAAAUACUGACACUAAAUAUUUAAAUUGACAUGAAUAAUUUUUUAUAUUAUCGAGCUAGCUUGUUAUUGAUACUAUAGUCACAUAAAUCACUGACAUAUAAAUAGUAUCAUCAAAUAUUAACACUAUCGUAUCAUUAUUUUGGUGAUACUAUAGUGACAUGAAUUACUAAUACAAAAAUCACUGACACUAAAAAUUAGUGUCAGUGUGUUAUGGCUUGAGCAUUACUGACACAAUUAACAAGUGUCAGGAAAAGUACUUACUGACACUAAUUUAGUGUCAGGUCAGUAAAGCCCAUUUUUGUAGUAGUGUACUUCUCUCAAAUUGGGAUGUUUACAAUUGCAAAAUGCUUCUAUAUUUAUAGAGAGCAUUUUGCACUAAGUUGGGUUCAAUUGGCCAAAACAUUGAGCUGGAACUUGCAUUGCAUGCGUUAAAGUCAUGCAUAUUUGUCAACAAUUGCAUGUGUAAUUUGUUGCCAUCUUCAAUUUUCAACAUCACCCUUCAAUUUUCAACAUCACCGAAUUGCAUGAACAAAAUUUUCAAAACCUUUUUCAUGCUUUCAAAACCUAACUUUGUCUUUUCUACUCAAGUCAAAAUUUCAACAACUCCAUGGACUAAGAGAUUUUGGAGGGCACAAGCUAUAAAUUUCUUAUCUUUUCUUAUCUUUUUGAAGCUGUCAAAAGAUACGCUAUAGUUUGCAAUAAGAACAGUGCUGGCUAAGUGUUGGCGGUAGAAAGAAUUUAAAGAUAAAUUUUAAUAAAGAAGGUUAAUUUGGAAAUUUUAUAUGCGUUUAGUGAAUGAAUAAUGCUGCAUGUAUUUAAAAUAGCACAAAAUUUAAUACAAAAGCAUAAAAAAUUAAAAAAUUCUUGUGCUGUGGUGAAUUCUUUUCUUGUAACGAAACUUUUUAUUUUUUUUAGUGAUGGCAUACUAUUUUUUACUAUCUUUUUUUCUUAUACAUUGGUAUUGUCAGCCAACGGAUGAAUAAAUGGUAAAAUAUUGAUGUGAAAAAUCUCUGCUACCUUUUCGAAUUUUAUUUUUUAAAAGAUAGAGAUAAAUGAUUUCAAAUUAAUCUUUUAACUCUCUAACUUUUGUCAAAUUUAAAUUUGAAUAGCCAACAAAAUAAAAUUAAUUGAAAACUCUACCUCCGUGCUCUGAGUGCAAUUAUUUUGACUCAAAUUAAUGUCUUAAAAUUUUGAAAAACUGACCAGCACAUUGAAUACAUACAAUGUGCCUGUAUAUAGAUCACACCCUGCCAAUCAUGGUGUUAUAAUUAUUGAAUCAUUGAUUAGUAAAUGUAUCUUACUGUCCUUUUCUCAUGCACAUGCGUCAUUACGAAAUCAUUACAAAAUCAAAGUUAAUGUAUGUACCAUAAUUUAAAGGCACAAAAAUUACCCCAAGUGUCCAAAUAAAAAAGAAAGAAAGAAACUAUCUCGAAAAAUUAAAUAAGUAAAUAAAUUAUAUCCAAUCUAUUCCGGAUAAAGUAACACGGGAACAAAAUUCUCCUAGCACUUACGAUAAUAAGUAAGAGUAAAAAAUCAUUCUAAUUUUGGGAUUCCGGGGUCUGAGGGAACCACGACUAAUUCCGAGAUUUCGGGGUCUGAGGGAACCACGCCCAAGAUCAUAGGAGUAGGGAAGCACAUGGGCGGGUCCGGGAUAAAUAUAUUUAUUUCCCUAGGAACAAGUUCACGUCCACGUGUGCAAUAAUAGUUGGUGGUACGUGUCAUCAAGGAGAGAGACCAAGGCAAAACCCUAGACCCAUGUCAUCCAUCAACUAUAAAUAGGGACCAUCUCACCAAGAAAAGUGGAUCUCUCCCAAGCCAAAAAAACCCUAAUCUUGUUUAUUGUUCUUGCUUCCAUUAGACCUUAAAAUCGAACACUGACUUGGGCGUCGGAGUGCCUUUUUCAGGUACCCACCACACCAGAUUCGAGUUCAACACGUGUCACAAGUUCUCCACAAAUCAAAAGUACGUGUGAAGGUAAAUUCUUACUCCUUCAAUUAACAAUGUUGUUAGAUUGUAACUUGUUAGAUUAUAUCUAAUCGCAUUUGCAAAUAUUCAUAUGAGGAGUUAAAGAUGCUUGCAUACAGUUAGGUAGCAUUUGUUUUUUUAUCUGAAAUCUAAAUGGGUCUAAAUUUUUCUAAAGUCUGAAUGAGUUUGAUUAUGAAAAAAUGAAUGACAUGUUUUUUUCCGUUUUUAAAUAUAUAAAUAUAAGUGGUAUCUUAUUUAUUUUCACAAUAAAAAACAUCUUAAAUUUAGUUAUUUGACAUUUAUGUCCUUGUAAAUUAAAACAAAAAAAAAGGAUUAGAUUUUGUAGUUUAAAAAAUAAAUUAUUUUACAGAGAUAUUUUUAGAAUAUAAUAUUUACUUGUCAUUCAUACCUUUUUUCAUUUAGAUAAAAGUUACAAAAGUUUACUUUUUCUAUUCAGAUGUAAAUAUCUAAAAAUCAGACAUAAGUUUAAAAAAAAAACAAGUAUAUUUUAGAAAAAGUCUGAAAUUAAUAAAAUUUCAGACUUCAAAUAUUUAACAAACAACUUCUUAGUCCACAUUUGCGAGCAAGCGUGAUUAUAUAUAAUGUGCUUCUCCAUUAUAGUGUGUGAUCAAUCAGGCAAGCUUAAUUUAAAUGAUCAUCAGUAUCUAUGGAUGCGAAUCAAGAUCAAGGAGCAAAAGAGUUGUUUCAAGGCCAAGCUCAACUGUAUAAGCUCAUGUUUAGUCAUUUAAGCUCGACGUCACUCAAGUGCGCGAUUGAGCUGGGCAUAGCGGAUAUAAUUCACAGCCACGGACGGGCCAUCACUCUUUCUGAGUUGGUCUCGGCACUUGAUAUUCAGCCUACAAAAACGACUAGCCUAUUCAGGCUCAUGCGCUUGUUAGUGCACUCAGGCUGCUUUAACAAAACCAAAGUCAAUGGACAAGAAGAAGUAUACGGACUCACAGCUGCUUCUACUCUGCUCAUCAAAGACAAGCCCUACAGCAUGUCACCAACUGUUUCAGCAUUUGUUGACCCACUUUUUGUCGCUCCAUUUCAGUCUUUAAGUAGUUGGUUCAAAGGGACUGAGCUCACGUUGUGGGAAACUGUUCAUGGAAUCAAGUUCUGGGAAUUUAUGAAUCAAAACCCUGGAAUAAACCAGCGGUUCAAUGAAGCAAUGGCCGGUGACACUGAAAUAAUGACAAGCUUUGUUGUCAAAGUCGAGUGUAAGCAAAUCUUUGAAGGGUUGGGCACAUUGGUUGACGUAGGAGGUGGCAACGGAUCUUUUUCCAGAAUCAUCUCUGAAGCAUUCCCUGGCAUCAAAUGCACUGUACUCGACCUCCCGCAUGUUGUUGCUAACUUGCCUGAGGCCGACAACUUUAAAUACAUAGCAGGUGACAUGUUUCAGUUUAUCCCUCCGGCAGAUGCCUUUCUCUUCAAGGUAAGAUCCAAUUUUAAAAAUUUAAAACAACUUCUUAACCGUUUUCGUGAAUACCAGAAGAUUUAUUUCAAUUGUUCUGUGCGCAGCACAUAUAUCCGGACGUUCGAUCUUACAAAAUCAGGAUUUGAAUGAUUCAAAUCAGAUUUAAAGUAACUGCAAAAUGCUAUACAACUCUAAAUUUAAUUAACAUUUGGAUUUUACAGAAUCUAGAAGUUUAGGCUUGAGCAUGACCAUUUACGUAGUCAUUUUAUAGUGCGGUUGCCCGCAUUUUUUCAAGUGUAGAUUCGAAGUUUACAAUAUUGGUAAAGGCUUGUAUAACAUUGAAACUUAUUUUUUCAUAACUUAUAUGUAUAUGUAUAUAUGUGUGUGUGUUUAUAGGCGGAGUAAUAAAACGUUUUAUCUACAACACUAUAAAAUUAUUUUACAAUAUUUAAAACAACGAAUCUCCAUUCUAAAAAGUGUGAUUUGUGUAUGUAUAUAGAUAGAUGGAUAGAUAGACACACGCACGAACUGUUGGGAUUUUAUUAAAAAGAAAAAGUAUCCUAUAUUUUAACUAAAAUGUUAGAUCAAACAACGGAACUGGAACUGCACUAUAAGUGGUGGGUAUUGAUUAAAUGAGUGAUUGGCAUGCUUGCAGUUGGUUUUUCAUGGAUUAGGUGAUGAGGAUGGGUUGAAGAUACUGAAGAAACGCAGAGAAGCAAUUGCAAGCAAUGGUGAGAGAGGAAAGGUAAUAAUAAUAGAUAUCGUUAUCAAUGCAGAGGAAGAGGAACACGAAUUAACCGAAACAAAGUUCUUGUUUGACAUUGUGCUGAGCGUUAACUCUACUGGAAAAGAGAGAACUGAAAGUGAAUGGGCAAAGCUAUUCUUCGAUGCUGGUUUCAGUCACUACAAAAUAACACCUAUAUUUGGCAUGAGGUCCCUCAUUGAAGUCUAUCCAUAAAGAAUUGAGCAACCGUAUUCCCGCAAGUCUCUUGUACUGCUUGAUGGAAUAGCAAAAUAUCGUUCAAGAUUUAAGUGUACGUAGUAGUUGAAAUGUCCCGAAAUGACUAGAAAAUGAGGUGACACACGGGUUUAAAUAUAGGAUGAGUCACUCAAUUAAAAUGCUAUAGUCUUUUGGGAUGGAAACUUAAAUAUCCUAGACCACCCUUUAAUAUAUUAAGAAUAAAGGAUUUGUGUGUACUAUGUUAUAUUGCAUUUUGUUAUUGUUUCCAGCAUCUGCUCUUAUGUUUUAUCUUUACUAAUAAAGUUACGAUCUUGCUUAAGUUAUUGUGUUCUCAAAACAACUGCAAAAUAAUUUAUAUUGGUACUUUGGAUAUUUACAAUUAGGUUGUACAUUAAUGACAAAUGAUUCAAAAUUUAUCUUUGCAAUGUAAGUAAAAAAAAAUAAUUAGUAAAAAAUUAAAAAAGUAAAAAUAACCUAUUCAUAUUAAUGAGUAAUAUUACUAUUAAAAAUUAAUAUUUCAAAAGUAUAACAUCCCCACGAUUCUUCUAAGCCAAUCAGAAACAUCAUCAGCUAAGAUUGUUUGAUGGAAGACAAAAUUGAAGUUUACUUAUUUUAUUUAGUAUUUUAAUUUUUUCAAGCAGUAUUUAUAAUUGGACUUUUAUUUGGGGGUGCAUGGAUUCUCCUUUCCAGUUUACUAUUAGAAAGAUUAUGUCACGGGUUUAAUAAUUUUUUAUCAUUAAAAUCCUUAUUUUAUGCGAGGGUUUUAUCUAUCUUGAUCACAUUUCCACUAUGUUAUUAAGAAAAUCUUCAAAAAACAUGCAGUAUAAUAUCCAAGUCAACUCAAUCAAGGGAGGCUAAUUAAAACUGAGGAUCAAAUAGCACAAUCAACCUUACAUAACAAGCAGGAAUAAUGAAAGCCUUGAAUUAAUCACUAGCCGUUAGUCCUCUAUCCGUUUCGUUUAAUUUAACUAGGUGGAAGCCAAGAAUCUUGAGCAAAACUCUAUGCCCCAUAUUGUAUAUGUAUCCAACAAUUCGUCAAUGAAACUUUUUUUUAUGGUAUCACAGCCAAUCUUGAGAAUCACAGACAUGCAUAGUUAUUAUGUUUCAAUGAAAAAAAGUUUGCCACUAGUGAACCUCUUAAGAAAGUUGGCUUGCUUGACUGUAGAUCAGUAUACAAAAGAAAUUCAAAUCUAUUUGUGAUUAUUUGAUUGAUUAAAUGUUUUUCCCAAUACAUUCAGAUUUCAGAAAGUUUCAAAAGAAAGCUGAAAAAAUAUAUCAAUAAUUGAAAUGAAAAAAAGUUAGAAAUUUCAUUUGACAUAUUAUCAUUUAUCUUGCUUCGCUUCGUAUCAUUUGUGUAUUUUAUUGUCUUUGAAGCAUAUGAUUUUUUUUGUUUGGUACUAUGUUGGUGUUGUUUUAAUUUCUAUAUUAAGAAACGUGAUUGUUAUAUGGAAGACAUAUUUUGCAGAAAUAAUGGGAUUCAUUCUAAACCUAGACAUUGACUAGCUAGCCGUACACUACAAGAAAAUGGAACAUUUCCGAGGGCAAGUACCCUUGGAAAUAGACAAAGACUCUCGAAAAAACUCAUUUUCAAGCAGGACAUGCCGUCGAUCGUCGUCGUAUUAAGUCUUAUCGAAAAUGUUGAGUUUCUGAUGAGUCGUUGGAGAAAAAAAAAAUUUCCGAGGAUGUUGCCGUCGGAUAUGGAAUUAAAUGCCCCACGAAAUAAGAUAAGAUAAACCUAGUUAUUUUUAUAUUCAACUGCAACAUGCUCUCAUAAAUAAAAGAUACACUGUCGGAAAUAGACUUAUUUCAUUAAUUUUUUUAUUUUUAUUGUUGAAAUAUCUAUAUUAGGGAAGUAAUGUAACAAACAUAAUAAUAAUAUACGAAAUAUACUAAAUGUAACUUCAUUAAUUUCAAAAAUUCAUAAAAUCACAUUCAUCAUUCAAAAAUACAACAAAAAUAUCAAUUUUAUACUAUCUUUUACAGAAAAAAAAUAUACCCAAGUAUAUGCAAAAUGAUAUCACCAUAUCUUAAAUAUGUUCAAUCAUCCUCUAAAAUAACUUCAGUUUCUGAAUCAUUUACCUCAACUUCAUCAUCCUCAUACCCAUCAUCAUCUUCUCCCGUCAAAACAAUGUCCUAGGUGAAAGAAGGAAUUUUAAUCAUUAUUAUUACCAAAACAAGAACUUGUAUGAAAUAUAAUCAAGAAACUGAGACUAAUGAGAAAAAUAUUGUAAUAAAAACAACUUUAUAUCGAUGCAUAGUCUCCAUUUCAAAAAAUCUAAUAAUUAUUCCAUCAUUCACCUAUAUUAGAAGCUUGUCCAUAAUUACUUAAGUUCAUCAACUAAUAGAGCAAUGACAAGUCACCAAUCAUUUUUCAUGAGAACUCAAAAUAUAGAACACUUCAUUCACUUAAUCUAUUAAUAAAAUGAAAUAAACAACUUAUAGCUUCUGAGAUGAUUCUUGUGCAGACUUUCCAAGAACAAGUUUUAUCAUUCUUUUCAACUUCUUGAUUUCUUUCUCUAAGUCUUUUACUUUUACUUCCAAAUUACUACAUUGAUUCUUGUUACCUCCUUAAAUUGGCGAACCAUACACAUCCUUGCCUUUGAUGCCUGCUCCCUAACCAACAACACGACCAUGUGCUGCUUCUCUUGUCACUUCACGAGAUAUUUUCCAUUCAUCCACUGGCAAGCCUUGAUCUAUAACAGUGAAUCUCCUUGAUUCCAUUGUUUCCUAUAAUAAAUACAAACAUUUGUGUUAGUGCAUAUAGUAAUGAAAUCAUGCAAAUAAAUCCAGAAUAUUAUGAAAAUUUAAUAUCAAAUACACACAUGCAUUUCCUUUGCCUUGUUACUUGCCCAUGUCCCCUUACAUGAAACAUCUUGAAUAAAUCAAGUGGACUAAGUUAAGUACCUAUUUGUUACUGCAAUAAAGAAUUGAAAUUCAAUAAGAUCAUAAUAAAUAAACACACUUCUUUUAUGAUCAAAGUCAAACAUGUUCUCUUCCCAUUUUCUGUUCUAUGCUUGGCCAUUGGGACGAAUUUGUAGUAUGAAUAAGUUUGGACUUGGUUCAAUUCCUCUUGGUCGUUGUGCCUGUUUUCUAUAUAUAAUUUUUAAAAAAGCAUAAAAUCAACUUGGUUACUCUGAACCCAUUGUUGAGUGCUAGAGAAUUCAUAUUUAUAGAGGGUAAAAUUAUCAUUUUAUGCUCCAAGUCUCACUAACAUUUUCACUUUUACAUGUUUAAAUCCUCUAAGCUUUUAUUAUGUGUGUUUUAUUAUAAUUUAAGUAUUUUAUAUAUUUCAGAGAUAUUUUGGCCAUUUUAUGACUAACGAGAAGUCAGACAACAAAACUGAUGGUAUUUUUGAACUCAUAAUGGUCAAAAACCUUAGGAAGAGCAUAAAUGGAUAUUCGGCAUACGGUACUGUUCACAUAUUAGGUAAUAUUCACAAGUACAACACUGUUUCACAUAUACGGUAUGAUGAUGUGGCAUUGACCGAUGAUGUGACAUUGACCAAUGAUGUGACAUUGACCGAUGAUGUGACAUUGACCGAUGAUGUGGCAGGAUGUUAUUGGACUAAAAUACUGAUGUGGCAUUGACUGAUGAUGUGGCAGCAUCUUAUGGGACCGAAAUGUUGAUGUGGUGUUGACUAAUAAUGUGUGCCAACCAAUCAAAGCUUGUCAUGUGGUGCAAUCAUGAGCGUAUGAAUUAUUUUCAUUUGAUGGCCAUGAUUUACCUAUUGUAUUUAUAAAUAGAGGGCUCCUCCACCUAAUUUGACACCCUUGAAUCUAUUUUCGAGCUCCAUUUUCUAUAAUUAUGUCUCCAUCUUGUAUUUUCUACAUAUUUUAAUAAAAUUAUCAUUUUACUCCUUGUUCAAUUAUAAGUGGCUAGUUUAUUUCAAACUUGGGUUGAAGGUGAAGGCUAAACAUAAUCUGUGGGCUUAGGUAAGUUUUUUUUUUCUCUCUGAUUUAUGUGGUUGUUUUGACUCAUUGUCGACAGACAGUGUAUCCUAUCUAGAUUUUGCACAGUAUACCUGCUCCCUACUGAAGGAUCGUUGUUGUCUGGCACAAUGAACACUUAACAUCAUAUUGAUUAGAGAGAAAAUUUCCCUAUGGUAUUUUGUGGGUCGUCUUGACUCAGUAUUGACAGAGAGUGUAUCUAAGCUAUUUAGUGGAUGGUCUUGCCAUGUUGUUGAUUAUUAUCAUCUGGCACAGUGUGUUCUUAACACCACACUUAGUGGAAGAUCAUUACCCCUUGCACACUGAGCGCUUGAUGUCAUAUUUAUUAAAGUGAGAAUUAUGAGGAGUUGAAAUACCCCCUUCAUGAAUUAAUUGGAACUAAAAACAUAAAUAUUAAGCCUAUGGUGAAAUGUUGAGUAUGAAUUUAGAGACUCAAGCUUUUCAUUUGCAUUAUUUUCAUCUUUAAUUCAUUCCCGCCAUUUUUUUAAAUCUUAAGAUAAAAAAAUUCACUCCCAACCAACUCACAUAUACACCUAGAAAAUUAACCCUAUGCAGAAUUAAAUCUACAUUCUCGUGGGACCGAACACAAAAUCUAUUUACAAUAGAUUCGUGCCCUUGCGUGUACAAUAAAAUGUGGGCAACACCCAUCAAGAACAACUCAUGUAUAAAGUACAUAGACAGUAUUUAUAAGUUUCUUGUUCCUAUAAUGAUUCUAGCAACUAUAAUUCACUGAUGAAUUAAAAAGAAUAGUGAAGCUUAAGAAAGAAAAUGACAGAAAAGUAUUUUGCUAAUAGUCAUUAUUAGUACUUUCCACCCCUCAUCCAUCCAUUUGUCAACCAUUUUACCUACCAUCAUAUAUCUCUAAAGUUAUAACAUGCCCUUGAGCAACUGCUUUGGCCUUUCCUCGACCAUUUUUUUUCUUUUUGCUACUUGAAGCUGGUACAAAAUCAAAUAAGAUACAAAUUAGCCAUUAAUUUAAAUUUAAUUGUGCAUUAAACAUUAAGUUAAUACCUUCAUCUAUUGUAGUAAAACAUAAAGCUUCACCACCAAUUAUAGAGCUAAUUCAGUAUCCUUGUUAUGUGUGCUAGCUUGAGACUUUCCUUUGCUAGCAACUAUGUCAUUUGAUCUUGUAAUUUUCAUUUGUCUUUUUCCCUUUGUUAGUAGCUAGAGACUUCUUUUUGUUUAUAGUUCGAAACUUUCCAUUUUUAACCAUUAGAAGCCAAUUAAUCAUUCAACAAAAAUAUUUCAAACAAACACAAAUGGUAGAAACGGUUAGAUUAAUCAUAGUUACAAAACCUACAUGAUAAAAAAAUAAUGCAGCAUGCACUGUACAGAGUCAUAAUAAGUUACCAUUUUUAACUUGCAAAAGGAAAAAGGGAAUAUUUUUUCUAAUUUGCAAAGUGUUAAGCUCAUUUGUUUUCCAAGCCUAACCAAAUCUUAUUCUUUCAAAACCUUAGCACAUGAUUAUGUGAAAAAUGUGCUAACUUCUAUCAAAGCAUCACAAAUUUCUUUUAGUAAAAACUCUCGCAUUGUAAGAGACAAUAAUCUCUCUAAGAACACAUGAUAGUCAUGAGUCUUCAUGCACGGAAUUUUAUGCUCGAGUAUAUUUAAACAUCUUAGUAAAUUAGUUGAAUAUCCAUCUGGAACUUGCACAUUCAUAAGCCACUCACACAAUCUUUAUCUCUUUUCAUUUGUCAAACUACAAGAAGAAAUGGGAAAAAUAGCUUUUCCAUCAUUAUAUUUUGGGUGAAGCUCAUGCUUUAUAUUCAACGAUUCGAUAUCAAGGCGAGCAUUUAGGUUAUCUUUUGUUUUGCCAUCAAUAUUAAAAAGUGUACCAAGUAUAUUAUCCCGCAUUUUUUUUUUCAAUUUCCAUGACAUCUAAAUUGUGAUACAACAAAAACGUUUUCAGUAUGGUAACUGAAAAAAAAAACUAUGUUUUUUCUAAUUUUUGUGCUUUUCAAACCCAUGAAUGACCUGCUUUUUCCCUGUUUUACCAAAUAUUAUUGGCCUUAAACUUUCAAGUUCAUUUAUCCCUUGCUCACUAGAUGGUCUUUUCGGUGUAGCUUUCUUUUCUAUCAUACCAUCAAAUUGGCUCUUUUGAAAUCUCCACUUAUGUCCCAGUGGCAAAAAUCGACGAUGCCUCAUAUAAAAUAUUUUUGAAUUGUGAUGUAAUCUACGAUGAGCAGUCUUCUUAGCACAACAUGGGCAAACCAACUUUCCUUUUGUGCUUAAACCAGAUGUAAGAUCAUAUGCAGGAAAGUCAUUAAUUGUCUACAUAACAACCGCUUUCAAUUGAAAAUUUAAACGUGUGGAAACAUCAUAAGUAUUCACUCCAUUUUCCCACAACUCAUUCAACUCAUCAAUUAAUGGCCUCAAGUACACAUCAAUAUCAUUACCUGGGCCUUUUGGGCCUGGGAUAAGGAAAGACAUGAACAUAUACGACUCUUUCAUACACAUCCAAUGUGGAAGAUUGUAUGGAAAUAAAAGAACAGGCCAACAACUGUAUCCAAAAUUCAUAUUUUCAAAAGGAUUGAAGCCAUCAGCAGCUAAACCCAGUCGAACAUUACGGGGAUCGCUAUAAAAUGACUCAUAAAUGUGAUCAAAACUCUUCCAAGCCUCAUAAUCUAUAGAAUGCCUUAGCAACCCAUCUUUAACACGCUUUUCUGAGUGUCAUCUCAUGUGUGCAACUACUUUAGAUGACAUAAAUAACCUUUGAAGUCUAUGUGUAAUAGGAAAGUAACAUAUAACCUUCCAAGAACAUUUUUGGCUUUUCCUUCACCACCUUACCUUUUGUCUUCCAUCUCGAAAGCCCACAAGUUGGACAUUGAGAUGCAUUUGCAAAUUCUUUAUAAUAGAUUAUACAAUCAUUCACACAUGCGUCAAUUUUUUCAUAAUGCAAACCAUUAUCUUUAACUAUCUUUUUUUAUCAUAAUUACACGUAGGCAAUUUUUCACACGAAGAAAAUGCAUCCUUCAAAAUCUCCAAUAAUGCGUCAAAGGAUUUGUUACUCCAACCAUUAAUGCAUUCGGCAUGCAUUAAUGUGACAAAAAAAGAUAAGUUGGAAUAUCUCGUACAAUUUGAAUACAAUGGUUGUUGUGCCUCUCCUAAUAAUUUAUAAAAACUUAAUGCAUCAUUUUUAGGAUCUUGGAAAAACUUUCUUUAACUUGGCCAAACAUAUCAUUAUAUCCACCAUCACAACCAUCAUCACUAUAACAGUCAACAUCAUCAUUAUCACCAUCACUAUCACUAUCACUAUCACUAUUACUCUUUCUAUUUUCCUAAGGGAAAUUAUCAUUCGUAUAUCCUAUGGAUGCUCUGUUAUCAAAAAUACUACAAGACUUUGAGAGUGUAUCAAUCAUCCACCCUAAAUUGGCAAAAUGUAUUUGCUAUUAACCAAACUGUUACUUACCGUUUAAAUAAGAUGACACCAGAGGGGUAAUUUGGUCUUUUCAUAUGAUACAAGUAAUAAUUAAAGGGUAUACAAGUGAUAAUAAAAGAAUUUAAGGGUAUACAAGUGAUAAUUUUCAAGGGUAACAUCGUCAAUUCGCUAUAAUUCUGUUAACUUUCAAACGGCAGCUAACGGUUUGGUGGUUGGCAUAUAACUUUUGUUAAUUUAGGGUGGACGAUUGAUACACCCUCAAAGUAUUGUAGUAUUUUUUAUAACAGAGCAUGUAUAGGGUAUUCGAAUGAUAAUAUCCCAUAGUAUCAAGUAGUGUAGUCCAAUCUCAUCCCUUUAUAUAAAAGAUGUCUUUCCACCUCGCUCUGAACUAAUCUAUACCUAUUGGUACACUUAACGCAUGGAUAUAGGAUUUUUUUUAUCCUCAUAUUUAAUGUGUCUAAAAGCAGAAUCAAGAAAAUUUUUCACUCCACUAACAUAUUUACUUGUUGACUUUUCUAAUUACAUCCAUGAUUUAUCAACUGACAACAUGUCUGAAUAAAAAAAAAAUUAUAUGAAAGGCAAAAUCAUUAUGCAAGCAGUAGCCACAGUAGCACUCAAGAGAUAUACUACAUCAUUAAAUAAACAAAACACUUUGCAGACUUUAAAGAACAAAUUCUAACCUACAGAAUAUAAUUAGAAAAGCAGCCACCACAAAGCACAUAAGCUUUUUUGUAUAGUGGUACAACAAUCAAAACCUGAAACAUGUCCAUUAGUAUUAAAAUUUUGACAUCAAACAAAAAUGAAACUGAAUAUCAUUUUUGCUGAGCUUUAAAUAUGACUAUCACUAAUUUUAUUUUAUUUUAUUUUUGUUGAGACUAACACUCUUGGAUUUCCUUUGAAUGUUCCUAAUUAUCAUUUUUAAUAACUCAUCAAAGUUGACUUUCUAAAAUAGUGUUUUUCAAUCCUAUAAAACAAAGCAAAUAAAUGCAAACUCGAUUAACCAAACAAGAAAUGGUUGUGCACUCUGUGCUUCUAAAUUAUGCAAACUCUGUAGUUAAUUACAUAUUAACUACACCAUCGAGAAUUAUCACAAAACAUUUUUAUUACAAAUUCAUGUUAAUGGAUCAAGAAAUUACCAAUUAAGUUUUAAGGAACUUGGUGAAAUUCAAGUCAUUAAGGCCCAGAAAGUAAAACUUUAAUAAGAUUGAAAUGCAAGAAACAAAAGUAAAUAACUGAAAGAAGAAUAAAAAUUACAAGUAUCAAAACUACAGACCAAGAGAUGCGUACAAAGAGUUGAUGAGUUGACUCGGAGAGACAUAAAAGAUGCACAAAGUUGUGAAUCUACAACUCUAAAACCCUAGAAAAUUUAUGAUAUUAAAGAAAAAUUAUUAAGAGGGAGAUGGAUUGGAGAAACUGUAGGAAAAGCUAAAAAGAGUUAAAAAUUUGCAAGCUAAAAAUUCUAAGUAAAUUUACUUUGAGGUGCUUCUACAUGCAAACAAGAUACAGAGAGUGAGAGAGCAGCAGAUGCUAAGAUGAAAAUAGUGUCACCAUUUGUUCGUUUGAAUUUUCUUUUAAUCAAAUUGUAUUAAUUACAAUGUCUUAUUUUGUUUAGGGGUUUUAUUUACUACCAAAGGGUUGGGCUUUAUUUAAUUGGCUAUGUUACUUUUGUAUGAACUGAUAAUAUCUUAUUUUUGUUUUAUUUAUAUAUUUUUUAUAUUUAUAGGAUUUAUUUCUUUUUUAUCUUUUUUAUAGGAGGUUCAAAGAUUUUAUUUUAAUUUAGUAUUAUAUUUCCUACCACAAAUUCAUUAUUAUCAGGGGCAAAUUACCCUCUGAAAACUUUAUCAUUUUUUUAAUGAUUUUCCAACAACUCAUUUAUGUCCUUGUAAAAAGUGCUUAUUAUAGAGGGUAAACAAUGCCAUUGGAAAUAUUUCUUCGAUAAUACAGCUUUUGUUGUAGUGCGUUGGCAAUGUUAUGAAGAAAAUCUAGACUUGAAUGAUAGUUGGCUAUCUUUGUUUGGUGAGUUUGCACGUUACAAGAUUGUGUGAGAUGAUUCUAUUGUAAGCCUUUGGCAAGAGCGAUACAAAUUGGCAUAUUUGUUUCCAAAGGUUUGUUACUUGCCAUGUUGAUGCUGGAUUGAGUUGGUGUGUUGAUCUUUUCCAUGUUGGUACGUGAUUCGUGUGGCUGCAUAUGGUUCAUGCGCUGUGACUAUUUGAAUUCCGUGAAUUCCUCAUGUGGUGGGCAAUGUAUCUUAACAGCCCUCUUGAGAUCAGUUGGGUUAUAGAGUGAAUGCCAAGCUUGUGCUGAAAGAGGAAGAAAAGAUCUUUACCCAGUGGUUUGGUAAGCAGAUAUAUAGUUUGCAACAAUAAGGGAAUAUGCUUGGCUUCAAGAAGUCCUUGAAUGACUUCUUCACGAACGAAAUGGACAUCGAUUUCGAUGUGUUUGCUAUGAGCAUGAAGAAGUGGAUUAUGUGUCAUGUUGAUGGCGCUCUUGUUGUUGUUGAGGAGGUGAGGAACAUGUAAAGUUGAGACCCCGAUGUCCUAAAAUAAAGUAAGAAUCCAAGUUAAUUAAGCCAUUUUGGGAGACAAAUUAAGCCCGAUAUUGUACUUGUACAAUGGAUCAUGCAACAAUUUUUUGUUUCUUGCUACACCAUGUGAUUAAAUUUGUCCCAAGGUAAAUACAAAAGCAUGUUGUGCAACAUUCUAUUUCAAGGUAGGGUUGCCAAAAAAGUCCAAGCCGAGCUGCAUGGAUUAGGCUUGGAUAUAGGCUGAAAAAUAUGAAGCCCGCAUA
rnacentral:lncRNA from 1 species